rnacentral:lncRNA from 1 species
UGUGAGGUACGACGACGACAAUGAAUUUGUGGUCAAGAGCGCCGAAGAGGCCCAAGAGGAUACUUUGAAUUGGUUCUUGAAGCAUGUCAAGUGAAGAGAACCGAAGGCAUUGAAGCACAACAUUCUGACGGAAGCAUUAGAUGACUGUAUUGUGUGAGACGAACAGUUUGAGGACUAGUCAUCUAUUGUAAUAUCUGGCGAGGGAACAAUGUACUGUGCUGUUGAUACUUAGAGAAAUAAAGACAUUGGUUUCAUCGCUUAAACUUGGAAGAUUGAAAACGAAAUAUAUCGCCUAGAGUUGUAUCGUGGCGAUUUUCGUGGCGAUUUGGGUGCAUUUUCUAUUCGAAUUGAUCAGAGGUGUUCACUGUCCAUUAAAUGAGGACCACACAAUGGAAUAUGAAACAGCAUAUUCGUUUCCCAAUCCCCUUUUUGAAGGAUAUGUUAUUGCAUGGUUACCACCAAGUCAUCAGCUAAAGUGGCUAAUAUCUAAGGUAAUCUCUAGACCACUUAAUUUUGAAUGCAUCCAUUAUAUUAUAAGUUAUAACUUGACAAAUAUGCGAGCAAUUAAGAUUUCAUUAAAAGAUACACGAUCUCAAAAUCGCAUGCCCCAAGAAAAAAAAAGAAAAAGAGAUGAAAGUAAGGAUAUGGAGAAAAAUAGUAUCCAAAAUAUAUGAGAAACCAACUAUUCGAACUUAUGACAAAAGCGAAGCGUUUGUUUUUGGUCAAGUCUAUAUGAUAGUAGGUCAAGAUUUUUCGAAACUAAAUCAGAUAGACAUGGAAAAAUUCGUCCUUCAUGUAUAUGGUAUAUAUUUUCGCAAUGUGCAUUUGUAUACUGACCAAAAAAUUUCAGCUUUUGGCCAGAUGGUGUUUUUUUGUGAGAGGACGCAUGUCUCUAUCGGGCUAAAUAUAUAAUGGUUUCGUCUUUGUUCGUUUCUCGUCUGUUUCUCACCGGCCCUCUUUCUUGUUUGACAUCAGCAGUGACGUUAAUACGAACCACGAGACCUUUGAUGACUAAUCCGAACCAUAAGAUUACACGGGCAAGGUGUCUGCAAGAGUAACUUUUUCAGACGCUGUGAUAUCGUAUCGCGGAUAAGCCAAUGGUUUUCAGAAGGCAAAGCAUGAUUCCACUUAGCGACCAGUGAAUCACCGUAUCAUCUCUCGUCUCUUGGCUCUGUUCUUACCUCGGAAAGAAUAAAGAAACGAAGAAAAAGACCAUGAACAGUAAACAAUGAAAGAAAAGAGAAGAAAAGAUCAAAAUAUCUAUAAAUUUUUUCAAAACGACGUCGUUUUGAGUGGAGUUGUGCAUGUCAAUAUCACUAACCCUUGCCAUGUAAGAUGACAAGCAUUGAUUUGCACCUCUACAUCAGAAUUUCCUGACAUAAAUUAGUUGGAUAGACAAUAUUACAAAAUUGUUGAAAGGUUCAUGACUACACUAGCCGAAUUGGACAGUUUAUUACAAAAUUGGAACUUGUACAAUUUGUUCACAGCUUUUGGGUAGUUUUUCCCAUCUUAAGUAAGUCGUAAUUCUAAUACAUGGAUGCAUAAGCUCUAUGCUUUUCUUAUUAUGAAGGUUGAAUUCCAUUUGAAGGUUAGGUAAUCGUUUUCUGGUUUAGGUAUUUAUUUUUUGUCCUAUGGUGAAUUAGGUGAUGCUUUUUUCGCCUCGUUGGGACAGAGAAAACUGCUUUGUCUCCAAUCCGGCAACUUCCAUAUUGCUGAACCUGGACAUGAAUUUAGUAUCUGUAACACAAUUGUUGAAAUAACCUAAUGAAAAAACCUAGAUUGGUCGAAAUUGGUUGAUUUGGGUCAUCUAGGAACCGGCUUGUUGAAUUAAAGUCUAUCAAACCCAUUGGUUGAUCCAGGCUGAAAUUGGAUUAGUCCACUUAUCAAUUGCGUUAACAUGUCAGGGCUCAACAGCCGGCAAUUAUCUGGAUUUGUAAGAAAGAUCCAUGCAUAGCCGGUGAUGGGCCUUUCUCUCUUGGAAAUUGGACAUUGCUGAAAAAUGCUUUCAAAGAUCUUUCUAUUGGAGUUUUCGAAGUUCUCCAUAUCCACAAAAAAUGUUUAACUUUUACUAGUUCAAAUUUUCAAAUGAGAUAAAAAAAAAAAUCAUUUUGAGAUGUUUGCUUUCAAAAGUUUCUAAAAUAAGUUUCUAAAGAAAAAUACUCGAGUUUAGCGCACAUCAGACGAUCCCUUCCUCGAGACUGUGGAGUGGUUCCUCGGGUCCAAGAUUCGGGGACAAGGGGGUAGGUUUCCCAAGUCCAAGCACUGGAUUCUACGCACUCCCGAGGCUUAGGUACGAGGCAUCGGAAGUAGGGGACCGAGGUCCCAUCUUGCUCUGUUGCGUAGUGGCGAGUGUUGGGGUCCCUGGUUCAACGCACCAACGUCCCGAGUCCAGCUACUGAAGUUUCAGGACUAAGCAUGGUGGUCUCGAAUUUGACCCACAAGCACCCAAGAUAUUGGGUCCUAGCACUUGGUUCCUAAGUUCGACCCUAAGGUCCUAUGUUUCGCAGCUGAAGUUCCCUAUCUCCAUAGAUGAGGCGAUCAGGUUCUCGAAUUUAGAUGAUAAGGUCUUGGUUUAGCCCUAGGUCAAGGGCAUGGGGAUUGGGGUCCCAAGUUCAAGGGUCGAUGACACGGGCGUGUAUUUUAAAUAUUAUAACUUUUUACUAAGUUCCUUGAUAUUUAACAUAUGCUAGGAUAGAAUUUCUUUGUAAUUUAAUUAGAAUUUCAUUAGUUCUUCAAAUAUGUUAAGUUUUCUUGUUAUAUAAAAUAUUGAGAGUUUUCCUCUGUUGCAUUCAUGUGUGUGCGCCAUCGUGUGUAGUGCGAGUGUUCACUUGUGUUGGCAAAUUGCCACUUGUGCAAUCACUCUUUUAUGUUACAUUAAACGGGUCCGGCAUUUGAGCACCGAUGUCUCAAAUUCAACCUUAAGAUGCAAAGCCCGGCCUGUCACACCCCAAAAACUACAAAGAAUGGGGAUGACACAAAGGUCCUUCUUUACAAAGGACGUAGCCUCAAACACAACCAGCAAACUGAUAUUAACUUAUAUAUAUAUCAGAUAAACCUUCAAAUUGGUUGCAACAUCAGAGUUCCUAUAUGUUGGAGAAAUCUUCCUGGAGUAUUUUGAAGCUGAUAAAACGUUUCCAUCAGUCUAGUCUGAAGAUUUGCAGACUCUACUAUUUAAAGUCUGAAGACCUCUGGACUGCCAGACUCAAGACUCAAAGUCUAUUCUCAUUGACAGUUUCUAAUCCGUCAAAGAAGGGCUAUCCAGGACUGGAUGUUUCGUUAAUGAUUUGACCUUAUCGAUUGGAGAAGAUCUCUUGGCUGUAUAUGACAUAACGGAAUCCUUUAUUGACUCAAAGAUUGAGGAUCUGAUGAUUGGCGGAGUAUACUUGGAAGGUUCUACUUAUGGAAACCGAGAUCCUGAUUGUAUGGGCGAGCAUGAUUAUGGGCUAUCGACAUAUUCCUUAAAUAGCUCGAAUGAUCUUCCUAAUUGAUUCUGUCCAACGGGAAGGUUGGAAGAAUUCCUUUGGUAAAUGCCAACGGGUAUGAUGGCAUAAAGGAGUAUAUAAGGAAGACGUUUAAGUUGUUCAAGUGUGUGUGUGAUAAAAGAAUUCCAAAGUCUGAAGCUCUUUGUUCUUAGUCAAUUCAUUUUCUGAGCGAAAUCUUGUACGCAAAAGAGAGUCCAUAUUCUUGAGAAACCUUGAGGAAGUGUGGUAGAGUAUUUACACUAUGGAAUCAAGGGAAAGCCUUGCUGUAACAACUCUUUUGUUUAUAGUGAAAUCCAGCCGGUGGGCUGUUAGUGCGGAAGAGUGGACGUAGGCUUGGAAUAAGAUGAACCACUAUAAUUUAUGUGUUCAUUUUCUCUUCCCUACUCUCUGCUUUACUUUGAUCAUAAUUUGCUUUGUUAACGAAAGGAGAACUUCCUUUCUAUUGUUUGCUUAGUAUUGCUCUCUUAUCUCGAGAAAAUAUUUUUUACACCUAUUCACCCCCCUCUAGGUGCUUAUACUAGAUAUCUCAAUUGGUAUCAGAGCCUGUGUACUCACUUUGUUUGAAGUGUUUUACUUUAGAGUUAAAGAUCCAUGGCUAGUAUGUUAGCUCCAGGGCUAGUAGAAGGGCAAAGCAAUACCAGACCACCUUACUUUGAUGGAAAUGAAUACAACAUAUGGAAAAACAAGAUGAAGGCGUUCCUAAGAUCAAAGGAUCCUCUGGAAUGGGACGUUAUAGACAACGGAAUCAUUCCUAAAGCUGCACCUGUCUUAGAGAGAGGAAAAGAAACUGUUGAGUCUAGUGAAAUGACUUAGGAAGAGAUAACCAAGAGACAAGCUCUUGAUGCAAAAGUAAUUUAUUCUUUAUAUUGUGCUUUGUCACCUACUGAAUAUAACAGAUUAUCUUCUUGUGUUACAGUGAAAGAAGUUUGGGAUAGAUUACAUAUUACCUAUGAAGGAACCGAUCGAGUGAAAGAAACCAGAAUCAACAUUCUCCUCGAUCAAUACGAAGCAUUCAAAAUGAAAUCAGGAGAAUCUAUAACUAACAUGUUUAGUCGUUUUACAGAAAUCGUGAAUGGUCUUGAAAAUCAAGGUUAACCAAUUUCUGAUCACAUGAAAGUAAACAAGCUACUGCGUGGACUCUCCAAGGAUUGAAAUCACAUAAAGACCUCAAUAAGGGAGACACAAAGAAUUAUGCCACUAUCUAUCGAUGAGUUGGUUGAGACUCUUCAGUCUUAUGAAGUGGAACGAAUCAAUGAAGACGAAGAUCCUAAAGGUAAGAAAUCCAUUGCAUUAAAAUCCAAUGAUGAUUCUGAUGUUACAGAUUCUAAAGACGAUAUGGAUGAUGAGGAGCUUGCUCUCAUGAUAAGAAGAUUCAGAAAGCUGAACAGAAAAGGAAGAAGAUUCAAUCCAAAGAAACAAAGUUUUCAAAAGCAACAAACUAAGUCCGUUGAGGAUGAUGAAUCAAAUAGAGAUGUAGUCUGCUUUGAAUGUAAGAAAAAUGGACACAUCAGACCCAACUGUCCUCUUCUGAGGAAGAAGAAAGGAAAAGUUGAAAAGUAUCAAAAUGCUCUUAAAGCAGAAACCUGGAGUGAUACAGAAUGUGAAGAAAGUGAUGAUGAUUAUGCCAAUUGUCUGGUGGCACAAUCGGAUUCAGAUUCAAACUCCGAGACAAACUCAGAUUCAGACAGUGAAGUUGAGGUGAGUAACUCUAAAAUCCCUAUUAAAGUUUCUAAAUACAUUGAUGAGUUGUGUUUUAGUCUUAAGACUUCUCUUAAAAGGAUUUCCGAACUUAAAAAGGAAAAUUCUGCAUUGAAACAACAGGAAAAUGUUUUGAAAGAAAAUGUGAAAUGUUUAGACAUGAAUGUUUCUACUCUUAAAGAAAGAGAAGACAACCUUUCGAAAGAAAAUGUAUUUUUAAAAAAUGACAUAUCAAAUAUUUUCAAAAGAUUUUCAAUAGGAUCUGAGAAACUUGAGAAAAUUCUUUCAGCAUAAAGACCUUAUUUCAAUAAAUCUGGUUUGGGAAUGACUGUGGAAACCAUUCCUUUAAUUGAUUUUCCUAAAGUGAAGGAAAGAAUUAAGCAAAGACCCAUAAGAGAUGCUUACAAAAAUCAUUUUAAAAAGGUCUUUGUAAAACCAAUAGGUCAGAAUGCUCUCAGAUGUUCAAAGUGCAAUAGUUCAAAUCAUUUUGAGAAAGAAUGUCCUAUGGUUUGGAAACCUGUUAAGAAAGUAUGGGCAAAAACCGCAUAUCAUACUAACACCAAUGGACCCAAGAAAAUAUAUGUACCAAAGAAAGUUUGAGUCUCUUUUUUAAAUGCAGGUCACUAUCAAGAAGAAGGUAAAAUGGUAUCUGGAUAGUGGAUGCUCAAGACAUAUGGCAGGAGAUUCAAAUUGUUUCAUAAAGCUCAUUCACGUAAAUGGUGGAAAAGUCUCAUUUGGAGGAAACAACAAAGGAAGAAUUGUGGGAUUCGGAACUGUAAAUAUUGGAAACCUCACAAUCAGCAAUGUUUCCUUAGUGGAAGGACUCAACUACAAUCUGCUCAGUAUCAGUCAGCUGUGCGAUACCGGUUUCAAAAUCAACUUUCAAGAAGGAAUAUGUUCAGGAACCAGUAAAGAUUCUACUAAGUCAUUCAUGGGUUGAAGACAUGGAAAUAUCUACCUCUUGGACGUGAAACCAAAUGAAUCGCAAUGUCUAAUCUCAAUUCAAGAUGAAGUGAACUUAUGGCACAUAAUACUUGGGCACAUCAAUAUGAAGCAAAUAGCCAAAAUUUCAGCAAAGAAGCUAGUUCGUGAUAUACCCAAUCUGUCAUACCAAAAGUCUGAUCUAUGUACACCAUGUGUAUUGGGAAAGCAUGUAAGAAAUUCCUUUAAACCAAUAAAUCAAGUUUCCACUAAUCGUGUACUGCAGCUUCUACAUAUGGAUCUCUUUGAAUCAACCAGAACUCAGAGCAUUAGAGGUAAUAAAUAUUGCCUAGUAAUUGUGGAUGACUACUCACGAUUUACUUGGGUAUAUUUCCUGACAAGUAAGUCUGAAACAUUUUCUUACUUUGAAAAGUUUGCUAAAAAGAUUCAAAAUGAAAAAUGGUAUGUUAUUUCAAGUAUAAGAACAUACCAUGGAGGUGAAUUUGAAAAUCAGGAUUUUACAAAAUUUUGUGAUAAAUUUGGUUUUCAACAUGUGUUCUCCUCUCCAUAUACUUCAGAGCAAAACGGAGUUGUGGAAAGAAAGAAUAGGUCGCUUCAAGAAAUGGCUAGAACUCUUUUAAUUGAAAGUAACAUCUCUUCACGUUUUUGGGCUGAAGCAGUUUCUAUAGUAUGUUAUAUUAUUAAUGGAGUUUUUCUAAGACCUAUUAUGGAAAAAACCCCCUAUGAGUUAUUCAAAGGAAAGAAGCCUAUUGUUUCAUAUUUUCAUGUGUUUGGAUGUAAAUGCUUUAUAUUGAAAAAUACAAAUGAUCGAGUUGGCAAGUUUGAAGAAAAAUCAGAUGAAGGCAUCUUCCUUGGAUAUUCUACCUCAAGCAAAGCCUACAGAGUCUACAACAAGAAGACUCAAUCUGUGGAGGAAUCAAUGAAUGUCAAAUUCCAAGAUUCUAUGCAAAAUGAAUCUAUUCAAACUCAUCUUGAAGAAUCUGAACUUGCUCCAGACUCUACAAAGUCUAAAUCUCAAGAAGCAGUUCAAACUUCGAAAGACUAGCAUCAAAUGAUUGUUGAAUAUUCAAAUGAAGAAAGUGAUCAUCAACCUGACAAAUCAACCGGUAACUGGAAGCAUAAGUCCAGUCAUCCCAAAGAUCUCAUUAUAGGCGACAUUAAUGAAGGAAUUCGCACAAGAUCCAAAAUGCGCGAAGAGUCUAGUGCUGUGGCUCUUAUUUCUGAAAUAGAACCCAAAAGCAUAGAAGAAGCUUUAUCUGAUGAAAGCUGGAUUGAAGCCAUGCAAGAAGAACUCAGGCAAUUCAGUAUUAAUGAUGUCUGGGAAUUGACUCCUAAACCGAAAGGUAAAUCUAUUAUUGGAGCUAAAUGGGUUUUCAGGAACAAGAUGGACGAGAAAGGAAAGGUCAUAAGAAACAAAGUAAGACUCGUGGCCAAGGGAUAUACGCAAGAAGAAGGGAUAGACUAUGAUGAGACUUACGCACCAAUAGCGAGGUUAGAAGCAAUUAGAUUAUUACUUGCUUUUGCUUGCUAUAAGAAUUUCAGGUUAUUCCAAAUGUACGUCAAAAGUGCUUUCCUGAAUGGAUUUAUCCAUGAGGAAGUCUAUGUGGAACAACCACCUGGGUUUGAAGACCCAAGGAAACCGGACUCAAUAUUCAGAUUGAAAAAGGCUUUAUAUGGUUUAAAGCAAGCACCUCGAGCUUGGUACGACAGGCUGAGUAAAUUUUUAAUUCAAAACGGUUUUGUCAAAGGUAAAGUAGACACUACUCUAUUUAUCAAAAGAGAAAGCAAAAGUUUUCUGCUUGUUCAAAUAUAUGUUGAUGAUAUUAUUUUUGGAUCCUCUUAUCAAAGUCUGUGCAAGAAAUUCUCUAAGUCUAUGCAGGAUGAAUUUGAAAUGAGCAUGAUGGGUGAACUAACCUUCUUUCUUGGACUUCAAGUGAAACAAUUGAAUAAAGGAACCUUUAUUCAUCAAGAAAAAUAUGCUAAUGAUCUUGUCAAAAAGUUUGGACUGGAAAAUUGCAAAAAGACUGAUAUACCAAUGUCAAGUUCUUUAAAGAUAGACAAAGAUGAAGGAGGAAAGAAGGUUGACCAGAAGCUAUACAGGAGUAUCAUUGGUUCACUUCUUUAUCUUACUAUUUCUAGACCUGACAUUUUGUUUAGUGUUUGCAUUUGUGCUAGAUUUCAAGCAGACCCUAAAGAAUCUCAUCUAAGUGCUGCAAAGCGUAUUAUCAAAUACAUUGCAUCAACUUCAAGCCUUGGUCUUUGGUAUCCUAAAAAGGGAGACUUUACUUUUCUUGGAUACUCAGAUGCAGAUCUAGCCGGAUGCAGAGUUGAUAGAAAGAGCACCUUGGGUAUCUGUCAACUACUUGGAAGCAGGACAGUGUCUUGGUUUUCAAGGAAGCAAAAUAUAGUGGCUCUUUCUACAGCAGAAGCAGAGUAUGUAGCUCUUGGAAGUUGUUGUUCACAAAUUCUGUGGAUAAAACAAUAGCUAAGAGACUUUGGAAUUGAAGAUUCAUGCACGGAGAUUAACUGUGACAACACCAGCGCAAUCAAUCUCACCAAUAAUCCAAUUCUUCACUCAAGAGCAAAGCAUAUAGAGAUUCGACAUCACUUCAUUAGAGAUCAUGUUCAGAAUGGAGAAGUUUCGAUUCAGUUUGUUGACUCAAAGAACCAACUGGCGGAUAUAUUUACAAAGCCGUUGGAGAAAAAUCAAUUUGAAAUCAUUCGUUCCAGACUCAACAUCUUGAGGUUUGAAGAAGUAAAAAUCUAGAGACUCUCAGACUCAGACAAUCAAGAUCGUUGAUUGUAAGUUAUUUUAUUCUCUCUCAGAUUAAAUCUUGAAAAGGUACGAUCAUAUGUCCAUAAUUGAUUUUUGCUACUUUCAAUUUCCGUGAUUAGUGCAAUCUUUCUUUUUCGAAAAUGGAGUUAAUUUUUAAAUGGCAGUUAUCUAUUUUUUUUGAAAAAGGCAGUUAUUUUUUAAAAGGGCAUCUUUUUACUUUUCAUUACGACGUUUUGUAUGCCUCUCUUCGACUGACCUAUAUACUGUUGGUUUCUCUUCGUUUAACUCCAAAAACUCUAAAAAGCAUCGAUCUUCCACUUCUGUCUUCUUCUCUUGUUUAAUCUUCGAAAAGUUGUCAUUUUUCUUGGGAAAGUCAAGUUUGGAAUCUUUCAAAGACUGUGAAAGAUGUCGUCUCAAAGGAAGUCUUCGAGGAUCGCGAACAGGGGACCGCAGCAAAUGCGUGAGGGGCCUACGCACUUUGAUCUCACCAAGGAAGAAGAGUCUCCUAGUCAGUAGCAGAGCCCACGACAUUCUCAGCAGCGUCCAUCUUCUCCAUCUAGACCACAGGAUGUUGCUCGUCGAGAAGAGGAAUAAAUAAUUGAAGAUGCAGAAUCGUAAGAACUUUUAAGCCCUCUUUUACCUACAAGCUUUAUCGUGCUUUGAAAAGGGGUGGAACUCCUUUGAAUUACAUUGAUGAAUUUCUGAAAGACAAAGGGUACAAAAAUGAAACCUUUUUUUUUUACGCACAAUGGAACGGUUGGGAAUUGCCCUUGCUGGGUUGGCAGAAGAGGCAAUGUCAAAUAUUCCAAUCGAUCCACGUGUUGGAGGGCUGAAUCAGCCAGAUGGGAAUGAUGAUGACAAGUUGUACAGUCAGUUUCAACCGAGAAUGGGUGUUGUGGCAAAAAUUUGGAGCAAAAGGACAGACUUGUUUCGAUCGGAGGAACACAAGCAUCUAUACUCUAAGUUGUUGAAGCGUGGGGUCAUAAACCCUAGAAGUGUGGAUUUUGAUUUCCUUGACGCUGUGAACGUUAAUUUGAGGGAAAAAUUCAGUCUUCUUCAACUUGAACAGUUCUGUUCUGAAUCUACAGAAGCCUAUGCUGAACUCACUACAUACUUCUAUUCAAAUCUCAGUUUCUUAGAUGCGAAUAGAUUCUCUUUUAGUGUCCGAGAUCAGGACUAUGUGGUGGAUGUAGAUAUGUUGGCUGAUGUGAUUGGGGUUGAGAGAGGGAGAUAUCAACCUAUAAAUGUCUCUAUUGCUCGUGCUACGUUAGAACUUGUUAAGGAUAGAAGGAUAGAGGGAAAGGUUUCCUACUCGAGGAUGAGUGCGUUCAACAUUCUACUUCACAAGAUUGUGAUCAAUUGCCUCAGACCAAAAUCUACUUCAAAGACUGAUGUUUCAAACUCAGAGGCAAAACUGAUGUAUGCCAUCAAUGCUGGGAAAAAGUUCUCUCUUCCUCAUACUAUUAUAUUACACAUGUAUAGAGCAGUGGUGAAAGACAAGGGUCAAAUUCCUUAUCCAGCUCUUGUGACAAAGUUAUUUAGACAUUUGAAUGUUUAGCCUCCCCGGAUUCUCUGUGUUCGAAUUUGUGAUCAAAUGGUAGUGGGACUGAAAAUGGUAUCUAAAAUGCAUCUGAAGGAACUCAACAAGGCGUUGGAGAAAUUUAAGGAGAAAACCCCUGUCAAAACUCAUCAAAUCUCUUUGGCAACAAAAAGAAAAGGGAAGGAGCCCAUGGUUGCUCCAUCCAAGAAAAGAAGAGCUCUCAUUGUUGAGGAUGAAGAAGAUGAGGAAGACAUCACCAUUACUGCAAUGGCAUUGAAGAACCUGAGUUGUUCUGUUCCAGAAUCAACGGAACGACAAGAGAAAGACACAGAACAGAGGACUGGAGAAAGAGAAGAUUUGGAAGCAGAAGAGAAAGAAACAUAGGAGAGAGAAGCUGAAGAAAGAGAUGCGGAGGAUGAAAGAAUUAAAGAAGAAGAAGAAGAAGAGGAAAAAGAAGAUCAAGAGGAAGGAGAGCAUGAGGAACACUCUUCUCCUCCUGAAGGCAUGGAAACAAGGGGAGAUUGUGAGAAAAGAGGAAUAUCCUCAUAUCCUACUACCAGUGAAGGAGUCAGCCGCUCUCCAGCAGAUCUAGAGGACAUCUAUGUCUCUCAAUUUCCUGAGGAGGGACAUGAUGUUUCAUUGCCCAAUCUGCGUGACUAUGCUGAUUUGCCAUCAUCUGCCUUUACUCCAUUUGAUCGUGCAGAAGCUAGUACGCAGACUGAUAAUUCAGCAGAUUUUCACAGAAUUCUUGAUGUUCUCUUAGAAAUGCGGGGUCGGAUAUAUGCUCUGGGAUGCGAAGUACAGAAUUUGCAGACUGCAAAUCAAGCUUCUUCAGUUUCUUUGGAUGAUCAGAUCCAAGCCCUUACUCUUCAGAUUCAAGCAAAUGCUAAGGGUGAAGAGGUGGCUCAACUGAAGGAAGAGUUGACAAAGCUGGAAGGCAUUGUCCAGUCAAUGGGAGAUUUUCAGCUUGUUCGUGUUCCCAAGCAUUCUUGAUUCCAUCUCAACCUUUUUUAUGAUGACAAAAAGGGGGAGAGAUGUGAUUUGAACUUUGAACCUUGAACUUUUUUGAACUUGAUCUUGAACUUUUGAUUUGUUUUGAUGUUUGACUUGACUUUUGUGUCUGGCUGUGGACUAGAUUUGGGAUUUUGGAUUGACUGCUUAUAUUAAGUACUAUUGAUAUCUUAUGGAUGGCUUUACUCAUAUGCAAGACUAACCUAUUUUCUGUGGUUACAGAUUUUAGUGUUAUCAAUAAACCAUUUAUCUUUAUGAGAUAUCCAUAUUUGCUUGAGUAAUAUUUUGCAGGUCAAAGUUAUCCAAACUGUAGGAAAGUUUUGUCACCAUAAAAAAGGGGGAGAUUGUUGGAGAAAUCUUCCUGGAGUAUUUUGAAGCUGACAAAAUGUUUCCAUCAGUCUAGUCUGAAGAUUUGUAGACUCUACUAUUUAAAGUCUGAAGACCUCCGGACUACCAGACACAAGACUCAAAGUCUAUUCUCAUUGACAGUUUCUAAUCCAUCGAAGAAGGGCUAUCCAAGACUGGAUGUUUCGUUAAGGAUUUGACCUUAUUGACUAGAGAAGAUUUCUUGGCUGGAUAUGACAUAACAGAAUCCUUUAUUGACUCAAAGAUUGAGGAUCCGAUGAUUGGCGGAGUAUACUUGGAAGGUUCUAUUUAUGGAAACUGAGAUCCUGAUUGUAUGGGCAAGCAGAAUUGAUGGGCUAUCGACAUGUUUCUUAAAUAGCUCGAAUGAUCUUCCUAAUUGAUUCUGUCCAACGGGAAGAUUGGAAGAAUUCCUUUGGUAAGUGCCAAUGGAUAUGAUGGCAUAAAGGAGUAUAUAAGGAAGACGUUCCAGUUGUUCAAGUAUGUGUGCGAUAGAAGAAUUCCAAAGUCUGAAGCUCUUUGUUCUUAGUCAAUUCAUUUUCUGAGCGAAAUCUUGUACGCAAAAGAGAGUCCAUAUUCUUAAGAAACCUUGAGGAAGUGUGGUAGAGUAUCUACACUGUGGAAUCAAGGGAAAGCCUUGCUGUAACAACUAUUUUGUUCAUAGUGAAAUCUAACCAGUGGGCUGUCAGUGCGAAAGAGUGGACGUAGGCUUGGAAUAAGCCGAACCACUAUAAUUUCUGUGUUCAUUUUCUCUUCCCUACUCUCUGUUUUACUUUGAUCAUAAUUCGCUUCGUUAACGAAAGGAGAACUUCCUUUCUAUUGUCUGCUUAGUAUUGCUCUCUUAUCUCGAGAAAAUAUUUUUACACCUAUUCAUUCUCCCUCUAGGUGCUUGUACUAGCUAUCUCACUAUAAUCCACCAAAAAGAGAAAAGAGAUAUACGUUUAAAACUUAGAUGAUCCAACCACUAGUAAGGAUCAUUUGCAUCACUUCCUUAAACUAUACCAAAAACAAAAUAGAACUCCCCAAAAGUUUCCCACGACAGUGAACUCGCUCUAUUUGCCGCUAGCUGAGGAACCUAAAAAGAUCAAAGGAGGAAUAGGAUGAGCAACCAUAGCUCAGUGAGUAGUACAUAUCUUCUAAACAGAUCGAACAAUCACUAUGCAUAUAUACAAAGCAAUACCAAACUUCAUAACGCCAGCUCAAUAUAUAAAAUACGUAUUGAAUCUUAUAAGAGUUAUUUCUUAUCAUCAAAUAUUUAUAGUAAUAUGGAAAACUCAUUUGAAUCACCAUCAAAAGUCAAGUAUCAAUGGUUGAAUCCAUUGAAUAAUCUCCAUCAAAAACACAUAUCAAUGGCCUAUCCAUUGAUUAAUCUUUUGCUCAAUAACUAACCAUGGUCACGACACAACGCCUUGUGACAAGGCAACCAAGAUUCUCCCUUUGGCAAGGUUUCCACCUACAAAGCCGGUGGCUGAGCCCAGAAGGAUAUCAUAAACCUGGUAUGUAUACCCCAAAUUGAGCAUAAAUAACCAUUCUCCAAUACCAGAAAUCCAAUCCAAAAAUCAAUAUCUUAAACCAAACAAAUAACAUUUUGCAACAUAGCCCAUCAUCCAUUUCAUACUCAUUUCUCAAAUCAUUAAAUCUUUCCAUAAAUCAGUUGCAAAGCAAUUUCAUAUAUGUUUCUUCACAAACCUUGUAUAACGUGCUUUUCAAAGAUUCACAAUCAACCAAAGGGUAGCAAUUGUUCGAUCUGGCUUUUAUGCAAUAAAAAUGCUCUUCUCAAUUCAAUACAUAUACAUAUACAUAUAUAUAUAUACUUCAAGACAUGAUUUUAUAAAACCAAAGAAAAUAUAGUACUACUCACCUUGUCGUCUAUGACCAAACGACAAAUGAUACUUGCAUCGUCGAACUCAAGGCCCUAUCAAAUAACCGAAGAAUAAUGUUAAAAUCUAAUAAAAUUUUAUCUCGACUACAAAAUGACUAAGUUACACCUUAACUCUAACAAAAGGACUUCUGCGUGCUAACAAGUUGCAUAACCAAAGCGAUUGUUCAAGCCAUUCGCAACAUGAAGUUUAAGCGCAAAACUUGAUCGAGCCUUAACUCUCUCUUCCAAACCCCGAUCCAAACGUACUUAUAGUCAAUAGAGAGCCCUUGACACAUAUUGCAAGAAUCUCAACUUCACCGUCCCAAAAUCAAGCCAAAAAAUGACAAAAUACGGGCCAAAGCUGCUGGACGCGUACUGUUCACUGCGCACGGAAAACUUUGAAAUUUUGUUUCGGACAAACCAUAAGCUCAAAUCAUGAUCCGUAAAAUCUCACGGCUCCACAACACCCUAAACUACCAUUUCUACAAAAAUAUGCGGCUCAACGACUCUAAAAUCAGAUUUCGCCGCUCAAUUUUCCAAAAAUUUCGAAUUUGAGUCCCAAAUUCAAAAAUUACUUCAAUUGGAUGAACGAGGGACUCGAUCUCUUACCGGAUGCUGCGUUAUGGAGUCGAGUCGGCUUGGUGAGGUAUCCGAGGCGUGCACAUGCCAAAACUCCUUUCCUUUCUUCCCCUUUCUCUUCUUCUUCUUCUUCUUCUUCUUCUUCUUCUUCUUCUUCUUCUUCUUCUUUUCUUUCUUUUCUUUUUGGUCGAGGAAACUCUCAGCUUCUAUUUAGCCGAGCCCUCUCCCAUCUCUUUUUUCUUUUUUCUUUUUUAUUGCGUUUUUAGCUUUUCGACUUCUUUUUCCGUUUCUUCUUUUGGGGCCUUUAAAACUUCUUUUUCUGUUUCUUCUUUUGGGGCCCACUAGCCUAAUGUUACAUGGCCCAUCAGGCAUCGGGUUUGAAGAGUAGGUUAUUAGGAUCUUGAGUUCUUUCCUUGAUAUCUUGAGUCCUGAAUAUGGGAAUGGUGUUGGUGGUGGUGGAAGUCAAAUCAGAUUCUAGAAAAUGUUGAGUCCUUUCAAGUGGCGGAAAUUUAUUUCCAAAAUCUGAGUGAAGAUUUCUAAUGGAUUAAAAAAAUUCUAUAUUAAAUCAUGUUUCUAAACAACGUCAAAAGGCAAAAGAUGAAGCAGGUAUUUUACCAGCUAAUUUCCGACAAGACAAACGGCUCAAACGUAAUUCAUUAUGCAGAAGCUCCCUGAGACAAAAGGAUCACUUGAUUUUUUAUGGUUCGUUCUCAAAGCAGAUAUGUUCCAGACUUUUUACAAAGAUCAAUUGAUCAAGCGUAUUGGGAAAGUGAGCUUCAAUGAGCUUUAGAGUUUUGACCAUUGAAAAGGGGAAUUUUUUUUUUUGGUAAGGUUGAAAAGGGGAAUUUUUCUAUAUCAAUCAUCUUGAAGUUGGCAUAGGGUGUUUCUAUCAGUUACUCAAAUCUCUUUUAGCUAUUGUUGAAGCAAGCGUCAUUUGACUUGAUUGGUCGAAUUAGGCGGAAUCCACACGUGUAAUCACCUCACCUUCGUGUUCUUUUGGACUUACCCAAUGAAGCACAUAUUUCUAUUUCUCCAGCAAUUAUCUAAUGCACAUGGUGUCACACCUUAAAACUACAAAGAAUGGGGAUGACACGGUCGUCCUUCUUUACAAAGGACGCAGCCUCAAACACAACCAACAGACUGAUAUUAACUUAUAUAUCUCAAACCAUAUAUUUAUCAGAUAAACCAACAAAUUGGUUGCAACAUCAGAGUCUCUAUAAUCCACCAAAAAGAGAAAAUAGAUAUACGUUUAAAACUCAGACGAUCCAACUACUAGUAAGUAUCAUUUGCACCACUUCCUUAAACCAUAUCAAAAACAAAAUAGAACUCCCCAAAAGUUUCCUACUGAUGGCACACUCGCUCUAUUCGCCGCUAACUGAGGAACCUGAAAAGAUUAAAGGAGGAGUGGAAUGAACAACAAUAGCUCAGUGAGUAGUACAUAUCUUCUAAGCAGAUUGAACUACCACUAUACAUGUAUACAAAGCAAUACCAAACUUCAUAACGCCAACUCAAUAUAUAAAAUACAUAUUGAAUCUUAUAUGAGUUAUUUCUUAUCAUCAAAGUUUUAUACUAAUAUGGAAAACUCAUUUAAAUCGCCAUCAAAAGUCAAGUAUCAAUGGUUGAAUCCAUUGAAUAAUCUCCAUCAAAAACACAUAUCAAUGGUCUAUCCAUUGAUCAAUCUUUUGCUCAAUAACUAACCAUGGUCACGACACAACGUCUUGUGACAAGGCGACCAAUAUUCUCCCAUUGGCAAGGUCUCCACCUACAAAACUGAUGGUUGGGCCUAGAAGGAUAUUCUAAACUUGGUAUGCAUACCCCAAAAACCCCUCACUGGGUUCACAAUUAUAUUGAGCAUAAAUAACCAUUCUCCAAUACUAGAAAUCAAAUCCAGAAAUCGAUAUCUUAAACCAAAUAAAUAACAUUUUGCAACAUAGCCCAUCAUCCAUUUCAUAUCCGUUUCUCAAAUCAUCAUAAACAUUUUCAUAAAUUAGUCACAAAGCAAUUUCAUAUAUGUUUCUCCAGAAACCUUGUAUAACAUGCUUUUCAAACAUUCACAAUCAACCAAAGAGUAGCAAUUGUUCGAUAUGGCUUUUUAUGUAAUAAAAAUGCUCUUCUUGAUUCAAUAUAUAUACAUACAUACUUCAAGACACGAUUUUAUAAUACCAAAGAAGAUAUAAUACCACUCACCUCGUCGUCUACGACCAAACGACAAACGAUACUUGUAUCGUCGAACUCAUGGCCCUAUCAAAUAACUGAAGAAUAAUGUUAAAAUAUAAUAAAAUUCUAUCUCGACUACAAAAUGACUAAAUUAUGCCUUAACUCUAACAAAAGGACUUCUACGCGCUAACAAAUCGCAUAACCAAAGCGAUUGUUCAAGCCAUUCGCAACACGGAGUUUAAGCACAAAACUUGAUCGCGCCUUAACUUUCUCCUUCGAAUCCUAAUCCGAACAUAUUUAUAGUGAAUAGAGAGCCCUUGACACAUAUUACAAGAAUCCCAACUUGACUGUCCCAAAAUCAAGCCGAAAAAUGACAAAAUAUGGGCCCGAAGCUGCUGGAUGCGUACUGUUCACUCGCGCGGGAAACUUUGAAAUUUUGUUUCGGACAAACCAUAAGCUCAAUCACGAUCCAUAAAAUCCCAUGGCUCCACAACACUCUAAACUUCAAUUCCUACAAAAAUACACGGCUUAGCGACUCCAAAAUUAGACUUCGCGCUCGAUUUUCCAAAAAUUGAAUUUGAGCCCUAAAUCCAAAAAUUACUUCAAUUGGACGAACGAGGGGCCUAAUCUCUUACCAGGUGCUGCGUUAUGGAGUCGAGUUGGCUUGGCGAGGCGUCUGAGGCGUGCACGUGCCAAAACCCCUUUCCUUCCUUCCCCUUUCUUUUCUUCUUCUUCUUCUUCUUCUUCUUCUUCUUCUUUUCUUUAUGGUCGAGGGCCCUCGAGGGCCCUCAGCUUCUAUUUAACCAAACCCUCUCCCCUCUCCUUUUUGCUUUAUCGGCUUUUUAGCUUCUUUUUCUAUUUCUUCUCUUGGGGCCCACUAACAUAAUAUUACACAUGGGAUGGGGGUACUAACACAUCUAAUAGGGAUGGGAUUAGUUGGGCACGCAAAAAGUCCUAGAAAUCCAUUGCUACAACAAAAGAAUUCGAGGAAUUUGAAACAAGUGACUUUUCCUUUGUCUAGCUUGAAGAGAGAUUCUUCUAUGCCUCAUGAAUGUGACAUUCCUAUUCAUCAAAAUCAAUCACCACAUGUUGAUUAUUGUAAAUUGCCUUAUUUUCUUUUAAAAUUAAAAAAAAAUUGCAUAGACAAUGACUAGAUUGAUUGGUCAGAUCAUCGUUAAAUUGCUUCCUCAAUAGGUGCAUUGAUUGUUGAUCCUAAACUAAACUUAAGAGCUUACACUUCUUUGUGCACACAAAGUUUCAAUCUCUUAUGAACUUGAUAAUAAUGGUCAUAGAACUAUAAAGUUUUUUUUUUAAUUGAGAGGUGUUGAAAAUAAUAGUCACCAACAACAGUAGGCACAUCAAAAGAAGUCUCUAUGGGAAGGUUACACCAUUGUUCCAAAUUCUAAUCUUGAUUAAUGAUGUGACAUCUUCAUUGGGUCUUGAAGUGUCUGUUUAAUUCUCUUUGCUCCAUAGCUAGCAUAUACUAAUUCAAUUUGGAUCAACCGGUUUUACGACUAGAGUGCAAAACGGAAAGAUGAAAUAUAGAUGCCCCUCGGAGAUACCCUAAUUAUAAAUUUCCAAUCAUAACAUUAGGCAAGAUAAAAAUUUGCCAAAUUGAUUGUGACAACCUCUAUAGGGAAUAGAUAAAAAUGCCCUAAUUGUGCACACGACAAAAUGAUUGCCCCCAUCACUAGACAUGGACGGCCCAAUGUUUUACAAUAUUUUACCAGCUAAUUUCCAGCAAGACAAACGGCUCAAACGUAAUUCAUUGUGCAGAAGCUCCCCGAGAUAAAGGGAUCACUUGAUUUUUUCUGGUCCGUUCUCAAAGCAGAUCUGUUCCAGACAAUCAAUUGAAUAUCCACGUAAUUAAGUGAAAUAGUGGCUUUUGUCUCAAUUUUACUGGUUUUCCUAAAUUAUCCAUAUAUGAAAUAUUAAAGAGUAAAAAAAAGAUAUAAAUUACAUUUUUGAUAAUAUCCCACCUUCAUUUGGUUCCUCCCGUAACUAUCCAUUUGCACCUACUCUUAUAUUGACUGACAAGAAAGUUAUGUUGUACCAAAAAGCACCAUCUCUUUAACCCACUGUCUGCACCUUUGACAGUCACAUGGAAUUCUCUUCUAUGAUCUCCGCUUCUUAUCAUCAUUCUCUUAUUAUUUUUAACGACGAAAUUCACUCUAUGACUGAAAUUUUAUCAACUUACAAAUAUUACUCAUGUAUAUUACAAAAUUCAAAUUAAAAUAAGCAUCACGAUUAUUAAGCCCGCGCACGCACGGUGCGUACAAACAAUCACCCAAUUCCAUGCACAUACAUAGCUCCUUUUUAAGCCAAAGAGAAGAGAGAAUCACUUGCAUCUUGAUUGAGUUGUUGUUACGAUACACGGACGCGUAAGCUCUAUGCUUUUCUCGUUAUGAAGGUUGAACUUCCUUAAAAGAUUACAUUAUCAUCUUCUGGUUUAGGUACUUAUUAUUGCCCUAUUGGUGAAUUAGCUGAUGCUUUUCUCCGCGUCGUCAGGAUAUAAUAUGCACAUAUUAACGUCAUGACAGGGACAACUGAUUUGUCUCCAAUCCGGCGACUUCCAUAUCGCUGAACUUGGACGUGAACUUUGGCACCCUUACAGUAGUUGUUGGAAUAGUCUAAUGACAAGAACCUGGAUUGGUCCGAAUUGAUUGAUUUGGCUUCUCUAGGAGCCAGCCCUUGAAUUAAAGUCUAUCAACCCCAGGCGUAGACUUAUAUUAGUCGAUCCAAGCUGAAAUUGAAGUGUCCCGUUCAUAGAUUGCAUUAGCAUGUCGGGACUCCAACAGCCGGCGAUUAGCUGGAUUCCUAAGAAAGAUCCAGCAGCAUAUUGUGACUGGUUGAUAAUGGCUCAAGGAAUUUCCAAACAAAAGCAAAGCAUAUGAUGGGCCAUUUGUCUCUUGGGGAUUGGACAUUGCUGAUUUUUUUUUUCUAAGAUCUUUAUGUUGGAGAUUUCGAAGUCGUUAAUUUUCAGAAUAUGUGUUUAGCAUUUCUUAAUUCAACUUUUCAAAUAAGCUAAAAGUCAUUUUGAGACCUUUGUAUUUCCAAACUAUUUUUUGAGAUCCAAGUUUAGCGCACAUCGAAUUAUCCAUAUCUAUAGACCUUGAUCCUUGUGCCAAGAACCAAGGAGAGUGGCGUAUUAGCUGUGGACUAGGAUCCUUAUGUGGAUGAUCCAGGGUCAAUUUACACAUCCAUGUAUUGGAAUCUCUAGGCUCCCGAGAUUAUAUAUGAGGCACUAAGUAGGACACCGAGGUCUCGUCUUGCCUUGUUGUCUAGUGGCGUGUGUUGGGGUCUCAGGUUCAAGGCACUGACGUUCUUAAUCCAAGAGGUCUUGAGACUAAGCAUUGAAGUCUCGAAUUUGAUCCAUAAGGGCGUGUUUGGUAACGUUUCUGUUGCCCGGAACAAUUUCUAAGCAUUUUAAGCUGUUUGGUAACUGUCCAAAAUUUCAAUUCUCAGAAUAGAAUUGCGUUUAGUAUAGUGCUCAAAAUUUCUACUCCAAAUCAUUUUCUUUUAAUUUUAAAUUUUUUUAAAUUUUUUUUCCUUUUUUCUUCUUUUCUUUUUUCCCUUUCUUUCUCAUAUUCUUCUUCUUCAAGUGGCCAAUUGUCAACAGGUUGGUCGGCGACUGGCUAGACGAGAGUUGGCAACCUCACCGGAGCGUUGCCAACCCUUGGCGAGGACGGCCAUUGUCGGCCGAGCCUCGCUGGCAGCUGGGCAAGGCUCGGCCGAGCCUCAGCGGGGCUGGGGGAGGCCUGCUUGGCCACCGACGAGGCUCGCCCAGCCCCUUCGAGCCUCAUCGAACUAGUUGCUGGUGAUUGGCGACGGUGGGCGGCGGAUGGCGAACGGCAACCACGACGGUGGCAGUAGAUGAAGAAGAAGAAAAGGGAAGAAGAACAAGAAAAAAGAAAAAAAAAAGAGAAAUUGAUUUUAGAAUUGUUCCCAAGAACAAUAAUCAACCUUUUUUAUUUUUAUUUUUAUUUAUUCUUGAUUCUGUUCCAAAUCUACUUUUGGGAACAAAAAAAUAGAAAUUUGUUUCCGAGAAUAAAAUUUUUACUAAACACGAUUCUAUUCCAAAAUUGCUCAUGGGAACAAAAGAAUAGAAAUUUUUACUAUUUGGCCAGUUAGGGUCUGUUUGGUAACCAUCCCAACAGUGCCAAAUUCUGAUUCUUUGUUCCCGGAAUCAGUUUCGGCCUAGAAUCGCGUUUGGUAAAUUUUUUGUUCCCGGGAACAGAUUGGGAAUAGAAUCAAGAAUAAAAAAAAAGUUUNNNNNNNNNNNNNNNNNNNNNNNNNNNNNNNNNNNNNNNNNNNNNNNNNNNNNNNNNNNNNNNNNNNNNNNNNNNNNNNNNNNNNNNNNNNNNNNNNNNNUCUUCAAGUGGCCAAUUGUCAACAGGUUGGUCGGUGACUGGCUAGACGAGAGUUGGCAACCUCACCGGAGCGUUGCCAACCCUUGGCGAGGACGGCCAUCGUUGGCCGAGCCUCGCUGGCAGCUGGGCAAGGCUCGGCCAAGCCUCAGCGGGGUUGGGGGAGGCCCGCUUGGCCACCGACGAGGCUCGCCUAGCCCUUUUGAGCCUCACUGAACUAGUUGCUAGUGAUUGGUGAUGGUGGGCGGCGGAUGGCGAACGGCAACCACGGCGGUGGCAGUAGAUGAAGAAGAAGAAAAGGGAAGAAGAACAAGAAAAUAAAAAGAGAAAUUGAUUUUAGAAUUGUUCCCAAGAACAAGAAUCAACCUUUUUUAUUUUUAUUUUUUUAUUCUUGAUUCUGUUCCAAAUCUACUUUCGGGAACAAAAACAUAGAAAUUUAUUUCUGAGAACAAAAUUUUUACUAAACACGAUUCUAUUCCAAAAUUGCUCAUGGGAACAAAAGAAUAUAAAUCGUUACCAAACGCGCCAUUAGCAAACAUGACCUAAGCAAGCACCCAAAGGUCAUGGGUCUGGGCAACUGGGACCUAAGUCCAACCACAAGGUUCUAUGUUUGGUAGCCAAAGUCUCAUCUCUUCAUGGAUUCAACGGUUUGAGUUUUGAGUUAAGAUGCUGAAGGCUUGGUUCAACCCUAGGUGCUAGGGACGGCGCUCAUUGUUCCCAAGUUGAUGACAUGGGAUGCAUGUUUUUAAAUAUUAUGAUUUUUAUUUAUUCUCUUGUCUUUCUUUAUUUUAGAAAUUAUUUUAGGAUACUGGAUGAUUUGUUUCAAUAGUUAUCAUUUACAUAUUUAAGAUAUCGUGGGAUAGAAUUUCUUAUUAGUUUACAUAUUUCCUAUUAUGAAAUUAGAAUUUCCUAAGUGUUUUAGAUAUAAAUAUGCAUUGUGUUUUUCUUGUAAUUUGGCUUAUUUAUUGAUGAAUAAAGGAAAAUUUUCAAAUGAGGGCAUAUGGUGCUCUCAUUUUCUCAAAUAAGUGCCCGAAGUAGCCGUUAUUUUAAAUAAGGGCUAGAAAAAAAAUGAAUUGACCAAAUUCUCUCGAAUAAGGACUUUUGGCUAGCCAUUGACUAUUCUGUCAUUGGAGAAAGGGUAUUUUAGUAAAAAAAAAAUUCUAAGUAUAUAUUUUUUAUUUUUCUCUCCUUGCCAUGCCUCAAGUGAGGGUUGCCUUUGCUGGCGUUGGGUGAGGGUGAAGGUUGCCCUUGUUAGCCCAAGUGAGGCGAUCCUUGCCCAAUGCUGGGGAGGAGGAGCCGUUGCUUGAGUCCAGCAACUUGAUGGAAAAUGGGGAAAAAAGAAAAAGAAAAUAACAAAAAAAAGAAAAAAAAAAAGGAAUUUUUGUAAAGAUGAAAAUGCCUUUCAAUCAGCAAGGUUAGCCUCUUCUUUGAGACCAAUAUGGCUACUUUAGGUAUUUAUAUGAAACAAUUUCACUUCAAGCUCUUAUUUGAGAAAAUUAUAGCACUUCAAGCCCUUAUUUAAAAUAAAGUCUACUUUAGGCCAUUAUAUGAGAGAAAAAAAAAAAGGAACACUUUAAGCCCUUAUUUGGAAUUUUCCCAUGAUUUAAUGGAAAAAUAGUGAGGUUUUCUUUGUAGCAUUUCGUGUAUGUGCAUCAAAAUGCAUAUCAUGAGUGUUUACUUGUGUUAAGGAAUUCCCAUAUAUGCUAUCACUCAUUUAGGUUAUGUUGGGCUAUCAUAGGUGUUGUCUAGGCAUCACUUGUCUAGCAGUAGUGCUUGUUCAACACUUGUUGCUCCAUAGCUUGCAUAUAAACUAAUUCGAUUUGGAUCACCAUUGGGUUUUUAUUUCUUAACCAUACCAAUUUGCUUCUUAAAUUCACCAAUUUAUCGAAAGGUUGAAAAAAUAAAAUCCAUGCCUAAUAAUUAGGGAAAAUAAAAGUUUAAUAUCAUCUCUGGUAGGAGCUGGAUUUAUAGUGCCACUAGUGAGCAAUUUCACCCAAAAGAACAUGUUUAAUUGAGAAACCUUGAACCGACACAAACAAGGAAAGGAUUACCCACAAAGGGCAAGACAGAAAAGGUGAAAUAUAGACUCCACCUUAAAAAAAAAAACCCAAUUAUAGAUUCACCAUCAUAGCAUCCAGCCAAAAGAUGGAAAAAGGAAGGAACCCCAUCGAUUGCGACAAUCACCAUCGGAAAAUAGAUAAGCUUCGCACAACUUGUGCACUCCACAAAAUGAUUGCGCCCAUCACAAGUUAUGGAGCGCCCCAAUGUCAACAUCUUUAGGGCUAGAACGGCUUAAUUGAUAAGAAAUCAUCUUGAUUAUCAUCAAGACAACGUUGGCCUAAGAAAUCGAGUCUGAUUGGGAUUUGGAAAAAAAAUGCAUAUAUUCGCGUCGAUAAUGAAAUUUUACGCGCGUGGGUAACAUUUUCAAUGGUGGGAUUGGUGUAGGUCUGCGCAUCCAGAAAUGAUUGUCACGACAAUGAGUCUUUAUCUUGAUAUUGAUUAAGUUUAACGAGUUUUUAUAAAGAGUCAAAUGAUUUUUUUUUUUUUUAAAGCAAAGGAUUAAUCAUUAUUUGAUGCCUAGGGGGCCGGCAAACACAGAGAACGAGGAGACAUCGCCAUAGAAAAAGUUGGUACCUUGAUUUGAUGGAUUUUUUCAUACUACGCACAUCAACCGUUCACGUACUCCAAAGGCGGGGCCUCUCAUGCUCCGAGUCAUGAAAUACCCACAAGAAUUUAUUUGCUUUGUCACUAUAUUAUUUAUCACCUAUGUAUGUAUUUAUGCAUCAACAUAGGUGAAAAUCAUCAUAUAUAAACCGAACCACUAUGAGUCAAAUCAUUUCAUACAUAUAUAUAUAUAUAUAUAUAUAUAUAUAUAUAUAUAUAAAGUAUGUUUGUUUUGUGAUUUUUGUUCUAUUAAGUUAAUGUAACAUGUACAAAAGGCGAUCGUCCGACGAGUUUGAGAUUUUACAAAACACAAGCUAAAUUGUUCCCUCUAGUCAAUUUCAAAAGAGUUGGAAUAUUGCAAACUUAACGAAUUUUUAUUUUCUUCGAAAAACAGAACACCAUUUGUCCGCACAACAAGAGGAGACAUUACCAAAUUUUGUGGACAUGCUUUGUCCGAGACCCAGCCCAUGUCCAGCAGCCCAGAUUGUGAUGGGUCCAGCCUGGACAGGCCCAUGGGGUGGCUGAUGGGCCUUGUCAAACACUAUUCAGUUGCUCUCCUAAGCUACAUAAACGAUCAACGAUAAAAUUCAAUGUCACAGGACAAGUUUCUGUCGGGCACAAUGCAAAUAAUGAGGUCCUAGAAUUAUAUAAUUGCUUUUGAGAUGCGAAGUUCUCAUUUAUCUAAAUCAAUCGUAGCAUGGCAAGUGUUACCAACUUCCUUAUCUUCUUUCAAGAUUAAUAAUAGUAUUUUUCCACAUGAUGAUCCACUUGGAUGGAUUGAAAUGUCAUACUUUGAGAGCACAUAAUUUUUUUUUUAGUAGAUAGAUAUUUUAUUCCUUCUCCUGUUUGCAUUCUAAUAUAAAAAUAUGAAUGCCGCUACCCAAUAUGCUUUCCACUUAAUGAUUGGAGCGUUGAUCUUGUUGUAAAUGCUAGAUCAUCAACUAGGCCGUCUUAAUAAAGAUUAGUUGAAGUUUGCUAUACUUAAGCUCUUUGUGAGGUGCCCAAAACGAGCUCCAAAUUGCAUAAAGACCUUCGACACGAGCCUGUAAUUUGAAGAGACAGUCGACGUGACCCCAAGUUUUGUAUAUUUGUAAUCUUAACGCAUGUAUGUUGUGGACCUACUUGGUCACAUCCCAUAUGCUUGGGUUCUGUCAUGUUCAAUUGGAUGUCACCAUAUCCAAGUUUGUCAUAGCUGUCGACCUAGACUAGGUAAGAACCACAUCAAUUUGCUUCAGUCGGUCGUGAGUAAAUUAUGAGCUGGGAUAAAUGCAAGUGAAUCUCAAGUGAUGCACUGGAGAAAAUAUUUGGAAAUGCCAUCGAACCUCACCUUUUGUCACUUCUAAGUAGUUAUUGAAUGAUCGGGAACGCCUUCUGUCACACCCGAAAACUACAAGAAUGGGGGAUGACACAGCCGUCUAUCCACACGAGGGACGUAGCCUCAAACACAACCAAUAAACUGAUAUCAACUUUUAUAUAUAUAUAUAUAUCUCAAUUAUAUAUAUACAUAUCAGCUAAAUCAAUAAAUUGGUUGCAACAUCAAAGUUUCUAUAAUCCACCAGAAAAGAUAUACGUUUAAAACUUAGACAAUACAACCACUAGCAAGGAUCAUAUGCACCACUUCCUUAAACCAUACCAAAGAAAAUAAAAAUAGGACUCCCUAAAAGUUUCCUACCAACGGCCCUCUCGCUCUAUACGCUGCUAACCGAGGAACUUGAAAAGAUUAAAGGAGGAGUGGGAUGAGCAACAACAGCUCAGUGAGUAGUACAUAUCUUCUAAGCAGAUCGAACAACCAUUAUGCAUGUAUAUAAAGUAAUACCAAACUUCAUAACGCCAACUCAAUAGAUAAAAUACAUAGCAAAUCUUAUAAGAGUUAUUUCUUAUCAUCAAAGCUUAAUAAUAAUAAUAUGGAAAACUCAUUUAAAUUGCCAUCAAAAGUCAAGUAUCAAUAGUUGAAUCCAUUGAAUAAUCUCCAUCAAAAACACAUAUCAAUGGUCUAUCCAUUCAUUCAUCUCAUAUCAAACACACAUCGAUGGUCUAUCCAUCGACCAAUCUUUUGUUCAAUAACUAACUAUGGUCAUGACACAACGCCUUGUGACAAGGCGAUCAAGAUUUCCCCUUGGCAAGGUCUCUACCUACAAAGUCGAUGGCUGGGCCCAGAAAGAUAUCCCAAACCUAGUAUGCAUACCCCAAAAAGCCCUCACUGGGUUCACAGUCAUAUUGAGCAUAAAUAACCAUUCUCCAAUACUAGAAAAUCAAAUUCAGAAAUCAAUAUCUUAAACCAAAAAAAUAACAUUUGCGGCAUAGCCCAUCAUCCAUUUUAUAUCCAUUUCUCAAAUCAUCAUAAACCUUUUCAUGAAUCAAUCACAAAGCAAUUUCAUAGAUAUUUCUCCACUUACUUUGUAUAAUACACUUUUCAAACAUCCACAAUCAACCAAUGAGUAGCAAUUGCUUGACCUGGCUUUUAUGCAAUAAAAAUGCUCUUCUCAAUUCAAUAUAUAUACAUAUAUAUAUAUAUAUAUAUAUAUAUAUAUAUAUAUAUAUAUAUAUAUAUACUUCAAGACAUGAUUUUUACAAAACCAAAGAAGAUAUAGUACCACUCACCUCGUCCUCUACGACCAAAUGACGAACGAUACUUGUGUCGUCGAACUCAAUGCCCUAUCAAAUAACCAAGAAAAAUGUUAAAAUCUAAUAAAACUCUAUCUCAACUACGAAACAACUAAAUUACGCCUUAACUCUAACAAAAGGAUUUCUACUCGCUAACAAUUUGCAUAACCAAAACUAUUGUUCAAGCCAUUUGUGACGCGGAGUUUAAGCGCAAAACUUAGUUACGCAAUAACUUUCUCCUUCGAACCCCGUUCCGAACGUACUUAUGGUCAAUAAAGAGCCCUUGACACAUAUUACAAGAAUCCCAACUUGACUGUCCCAAAAUCAAGCAAAAAGAUGACAAAAUACGGGCCCAAAGCUGCUGGACGCGUACUAUUCAUUGCGCGCGAGAAACUUUGAAAUUUUGUUUUGGAAAAACUUAUAAGCUCAAAUCAUGAUCCAUAAAAUCCCACGGCUCCACAACCCCUAAACUACCAUUCCUACAAAAAUACACGGCCUAACGACUCCAAAAUCGGACUUCGCUGCUCAAUUUUCCAAAAAUUCCGAAUUUGAACCCUAAACCUAUAAACUGCUUCAAUUGGACGAAUGGGGGGCCUGAUCUCUUACCGGGUGCUGCAUUAUGGGGUCGAGUUGGCUUGGUGAGACAUCUGAGGCGUGCAUGUGCCAAAACUCCUUUCCUUUCUCCUUCUUCUUCUUUUUUUUUUUUUUUUUGGUUGAGGACCCCUCAGCUUCUAUUUAACCGAGCCCUAACUUUUCAACUUCUUUUUAUAUUUUUUCUUUUGGGGCCCAGUAGCCAAAUAUUACAUUCUACCUUCCUAAAAAAAAAAUUCGUCCUCGAAAUUUACAUGUACUUCAAUCAUAAAACAAGUGAGGGUAUUUGUGUCAUGCCUCCUCCUCAAGUUCCCAAGUAGCCUCUCUCUCGGUGUGGUUUUGCCAUUGUAUUUUCACAUAAGGAAUAGUUCGUCGCCGCAACACCUGAUCCUUCUUAUCGACAAUGCAAAUAUGUUGUUCCUCAUAUGUCAAGUUCUCCCGUAAUCUCAAUGGAGUAAAGUCUAGCACAUGUUCAGGAUUUGCACAUAUUUCCGCAACAAAGAGACAUGGAACACAUUAUGGACACCUGAUAGUGCCGGUGGCAAAGCUAAUUUAUAAGCGACUUCACCAAUUUUCUCUAAGAUCAAGAAUGGUCCCAUGUACCUUGGACUUAACUUCCCACGUGUGUCAAAUCUCGUUACACCCUUCGUAGGAGAAACUUUUAAGAACAUGUGAUCCCCCACAUUAAAUUCUAACUUGUGUCUUUUUAGAUCAGCAUAACUUUUCUGACGAUUUUGAGCCGUUCUGAGACGUUCUCGAACCAACCUAACUUUCUCUUCUGACUGCUGGAUGAACUCAGAGCCAGUUAGUCUUUUCUCACCAACGUCAUCCCAAAAAAUAGGACUUCUACAUUUUCGCGCCAUCUUAAUACUGGAGUGAUAAUUGUUGUUAUAAGAAAAUUCUGCCAAAUAUAGAUGUUCAUCCCAAGAACCGCCAAAGUCAAUGAUGCAUGAUCUCAACAUAUCCUCUAAUGUCUGGAUCGUUCUCUCUGAUUGUUCAUCUGUUUGUGGAUGAAAAGCUAUACUUAAGUUGAGUUUAGUGCCCAAUGUUGCUUGCAAACUCUUCCAAAAGUUAGACACGAACCUAGGAUCCCUAUCAGAAACAAUGCUUACAGGAACUCCAUGAAGCUUCACUAUCUCAUUAACAUAUCGCCUUGCCAUAUCUUCCAUUGAAAGACCAAAUUGAUAUGACAAAAAGUGAGUGGACUUAGUUAAUCAAUCACUGUUCACCCAAAUAGAAUUCCUACCACUUGGCGUCCUCGGUAGACCAACUACAAAGUCCAUGGCAAUAUGCUCCCACUUCCAUUUAGGUAUCUUUAGAGGUUGCAACUAUCCACCUGGUUUAUGAUGUUCAAUUUUCACUGGCUGAUAAACUAAACAUUGAUCAACAAAUUUUAUAAUAUCAUUUUUCAUGUUGAUUCACCAAAAGUUUUUUCUCAAGUCCCUAUACAUUUUAGUGCUUCCCGGAUGAAUUGAAAAUCUAGUACUGUGAGCUUCUUGCAGGAUCUCCUUUUUUUAGCUUUGAGUCCUCAGGAACACAUAGUCGACCACGAAACAUCAAGGAUCCAUCUAUAUGUAAACUAAAUCUGCUUGUCUUCUAGCUUCCACAGCUUCUCUAAUUUUUUGUAAUUGUGGAUCUUCAUUCUGUUUAGCCUUAAUUAUGUUAAUCAACAUAGGUUGUACUUGAAGAUUAGCUAAUUGAGCACCAAGCUGCUGCACCAACACCUCUAAGUCUAACUUCCUCAUAUCUUCAAGAAUGGGUUUUUAAGAAGUGAGCAAAGCUACCAUAUUUCCAAAGGAUUUACGACUUAAAGCAUCCGCUACCACAUUAGCCUUACCCGGAUGGUAAUUAAUGGAUAAGUCAUUAUCCUUCAAAAGUUCUAACCAUCUUCUUUGCCUCAUGUUCAGUUCUUUCUGAGUAAAAAUAUACUUUAGACUCUUGUGAUCGGUAAAGGCUUCACAUUUUUCACCAUACAAAUGAUGCCACCAUAUCUUCAAGGCAAACACAACCGCCGCUAACUCCAAAUCAUGAGUGGGGUAGUUCUUCUCAUGUAAUUUCAAUUGUCUAGAAGCAUAGGUAACAACUUUGCUAUUUUGCAUAUGAACACAACCCAAACCUUCUUUGGAUGCGUCGCAAUAGAUUAUGAAGCCACCACUUCCAAAAGGUAGAGUUAGAAUAGGAGCCGACACCAGCCGUCUCUUCAACUCUUGAAAACUGCGUUCACAUUGGUCUGACCAUUCAAAUUUAACUUUCUUCUGGGUUAGACGGGUAAGUGGACUAGCAAUCUUUGAGAAUCCCUCUACAAAUCGCUUAUAGUAGCCGGCUAGCCCAAGAAAACUUCUCACUUCUAUAACAUUAGUUGGACGAUUCCACUUAACAACUACUUCAACCUUCUUUGGAUCCACUAAUAUGCCAUCCUUCGAGAUCACGUGACCCAAGAAUUCUAUAUGAUCAAGCCAAAAAUCACACUUACUAAAUUUGGCAUACAACUUCUUUUCAUGUAAAGUCUGCAAGACAAACCUCAAGUAUUGUUCGUGUUCCUCUAAACUCUUUGAAUACACUAGGAUGUCAUCAAUGAACACCAUAAUAAAUUUGUCUAGAUAUUCGUUGAACACUUUGUUCAUCAAGUCCAUGAAGGCAACAAGCGCAUUUGUUAAUCCAAAAGGCAUGACGAGAAAUUCAUAAUGGCCAUACCUUGUUCUAAAAGCAGUUUUAGGCACAUCAUCUAUUUUUAUCUUCAACUGAUGAUACCCAUAACGAAGGUCAAUCUUGGAAAAUACCUGAGCUCCCUGAAGUUGAUCAAAUAAAUCCUCAAUCUGAGGCAAAGGAUAUUUGUUUUUAACCGUUACCUUGUUAAGCUCUUGAUAAUCUAUGCAAAGCUACAUACUACCAUCCUUCUUUUUCACAAAUAGAACAGGAGCUCCCUAAGGCGAAACACUAGGUCUGAUGAAACCCUUAUCUAAAAGCUCUUCAGUUGCGUUUUCAAUUCUUUCAAUUUAGUGGGUGCCAUCCGAUAUGGUGCCUUAGAGAUUGGUGCUGUACCGGGCAUCAAUUCAAUACAAAACUCAAUUUCUCUAUCAAGAGGCAAUCCUGGUAAAUCCUCAGGAAACACACUUGGAAACUCUCUAACGACAGGAACAUCUUCCAACUUUACUACAACCUUAUGUGUGUCUUUUACACAAGCUAAAUAACCACAACAACCCUUUCUCAAAAGUUUCCUUGCUUGCAAAGCCGAGAUCAACCUUGGAGAAGUGUUUUGACAACUUCUCGAAAAAGAGAAUUCGGGUUGAUUCGAAAAUCUAAAUAUCACUUUUUUUGAAAAACAGUCAACAAUAGCACGAUAGGUAGAUCACCAAUCCAUUCCUAUAAUAACAUCGAAAUCUCGAAUAUUUAACUUUACUAGAUCCAGAGGCAUUUCAACAUUAUUAAUCUGAAUCACACAUCUCUUGAACACAUGAUGAACAACUAAGAAAUCGCCAGUAGGAGUAUCAACACACAAUUCACAUUCAAGAGGGUCAGGCAACACAUCAAGCUUCUUUGCAAAUUCAGUUGAAAUGAAGAAGUGCGUAGCACCAGGAUCAAAUAAGGCAUAAGCACAUUGUGAGGCAAUAGAAAUAUUACCUGCAACAAUUGCGUUAGAUGCUGCCGCAUCCUCCUUCGUCAUCGCAAAAAAUUUCUCACUUGUACUUUGUCUUUGUUGGUUCUCUUGGGGCCUACCAACGAAAGGGGUAUUCCUCCGCAUGGAACACUGGUGUGCUAGGUGGCCUUGUUGCCCACAUAGAUUACAUGAUCUAUUGCCAAUAGGAUGAUUCCUUUGUGUAGAACAAUCUCGCAGCAUGUGUCCCGCUUUCCCACAUGAGAAGCAUACUUCAGUUUUCCAAUGACACUCACUGCGAUGAUAACUUCCACAUGUAUUACAAGGGCCUUGGUUACUCGAAUUUCUGAACUAUCCUGGCUGGCUGAAACCUCUUCGCCUUCCACUACCAUCAGUAUGGCUACCUUGUACAUUUGUGGGCUUAAACCUUUUGGGUUGAGGCGCUCCUUGUGUGCCAUGCUUCAGAAUGCUUUGUUCCACCUUGAUUGUCCGUUCUAGCACAUCCUUAUAAGUUUUUAAUAUGAAAGGUGCAAGUGCAGAAUUAAUUUCAGGUCGGAGCCCUCCUAGGAAAUGGUCGUUCUUAUCUUCCUCAUUUGCUACCAAGUGCUAUGUAAAUGUACUCAACUGAUUAAAGCACCGUGGAGUCACCCUCAGAUAUAUGUACAAAGUCACCCUUCAUCUUUGCUUGGAAUGACUUUGGGAAGAAUUGAGCAUUGAACGCCUUUUUAAAGUCCUCCCAGGAUAUAAUAACAUCCCUACCUCCAAGACUUGGCUUCAUUCCAUCCCACCAAAACUCUACUUCACCUUCCAGGUAUUGGGUGGCAAAUUGAACUUUUCGAUCCACGGGAACCUCUUCAGCUUCAAAGAUCCCAUCAAUCUUUUUAAUCCAACGCUUAGUCGCAAGAGGAUCAGCUUUCCCAUCAAAAGUGGGUGGUUUUGCCUUUCUUAAAUGGCAAAAGUGCCUGAGCCAGUCACUCCAUCUCCAGUUAAUUCUUUUGCUUGUUGAUACCAAUGGAUCAUUGCUUGUUCAAAUUCAGUUGAACGGGUUGGCUCUUGAUCCUCUUCUUUGACUUCGCGCAAGUUAGGACUCCUAUUAUAGUGGUCCUCAAGUCUCCUUCUCAAAAACGCACCUCGAGAAGCUUGAGGCAUGUCUCUAGCCUCAGGGGUAGCGACUCGUUUGCCUUUGCGGCUCCUACGAAGCGAGGCAAGUGUCUCAAAGUUGGUACUCAUGAUCACCUGAAUCUAAUAAUGAAACUACACCUUAGAAUCUAGAAGACUAACGCAAAAAUAAAAUCUAUCACACAACCUCACAACAUCCCAUAACUACAUCCAAAAAGAUCAAAACUUAGGCUCUGAUACAAAAAAUGUCACACCCCAAAACUACAAAGAAUGAGGAUGACACGGCCAUCAUUCCACACGAAUGACGCGACCUCAAACACAACCAACAAACUGAUAUCAACUUAUAUAUAUCUCAAACCAUAUAUAUACAUAUAAGAUAAACCAACAAAUUGGUUGCAAUAUCAGAGUUUCUAUAAUCCACUAAAAAAAAUAUACGUUUAAAACUCAGACAAUACAACCACUAGUAAGGAUCAUGUGCACCACUUCUUUAAACCAUACCAAAGAAAAUAAAAAUAGAACUCCUCAAAAGUUUCCCACCAACGGCCCUCUCGCUCUAUUCGCCGCUAACCGAGGAACUUGAAAAGAUUAAAGGAGGAGUGGGAUGAGCAACAACAGCUCAGUGAGUAGUACAUCUCUUCUAAGCAGAUUGAACAACCAUUAUGCAUGUAUAUAAAGUAAUACCAAACUUCAUAAUGCCAACUCAAUAUAUAAAAUACAUAUCGAAUCUUAUAAGAGUUAUUUCUUAUCAUCAAAGCUUAAUAAUAAUAUGGAAAACUCAUUUAAAUCGCCAUCAAAAGUCAAGUAUCAAUGGUCAAAUCCAUUGAAUAAUCUCCAUCAAAAACACAUAUCAAUGAUCUAUCCAUUCAUUCAUCUCAUAUCAAACACAUAUUGAUGGUCCAUCCAUCGACCAAUCUUUUGCUCAAUAACUAACCAUGGUCACAACACAACGCCUUGUGACAAGGCGACCGAGAUUUCCCCUUGGCAAGGUCUCCACCUACAAAGUCGAUGGCUGGGCCCAGAAGGAUAUCCCAAAUCUAGUAUGCAUACCCCAAAAAGCCCUCACUGGGUUCACAGUCAUAUUGAGCAUAAUAACCAUUCUCCAAUACCAGAAAAUCCAAUCAAGAAAUCAAUAUCUUAAACUAAACGAAUAACAUUUGCGGCAUAGCCCAUCAUCCAUUUCAUAUCAAUUUCUCAAAUCAUCAUAAACCCUUUCAUGAAUCAAUCGCAAAGUAAUUUCAUAUAUAUUUCUCCACUUACUUUGUAUAAUACACUUUUCAAACAUCCACAAUCAACCAAAGAGUAACAAUUGCUCAAUCUGGCUUUUAUGCAAUACAAAUGCUCUUCUCGAUUCAAUAUAUAUAUACUUCAAGACAUGAUUUUUACAAAACCAAAGAAGAUAUAGUACGACUCACAUUGUCGUCUACAACCAAACGACGAACGAUACUCGUAUCGUGGAAUUCAAGGCCCUAUCAAAUAACCAAGAAAAAUGUUAAAAUCUAAUAAAACUCUAUCUCAAUUACGAAACAACUAAAUUACGCCUUAACUCUAACAAAAAGACUUCUACGCGCUAACAAUUCGCAUAACCAAAACGAUUGUUCAAGCCAGUCGUGAUGCGGAGUUUAAGCGCAAAACUUAGUUACGCAAUAACUUCCUCCUCCAAACCCCAUUCUGAACGUACUUAUAGUCAAUAGAGAGCCCUUGACAAAUAUUACAAGAAUCCCAACUUGACCAUCCCAAAAUCAAGCUGAAAGAUGACAAAAUACGAGCCCAAAGUUGCUGGACGCGUACUGUUCACUGCGCGCAAGAAACUUUGAAAUUUUGUUUCGGACAAACCAUAUGCUCAAAUCACGAUCCGUAAAAUCCCACGGCUUCACAACACCCUGAACUACCAUUCCUACAAAAAUACACAGCUCAACGACUCCAAAAAUGGACUUUGCCGCUGGAUUUUCUAAAAGUUCCGAAUUUGAACCCUAAACCCAUAAACUACUUCAAUUGGAUGAACGAGGAGCCUAAUCUCUUACCGGGUGCUGUGUUAUGGGGUCGAGUUGGCUUGGUGAGGCGUUCAAGGUGUGCACGUGCUAAAACUCUUUUCCUUUCUUCCCCUUUCUCUUCUUUCUUUUCUUUCUGGUUGAGGACCCCUCAGCUUCUAUUUAACCGAGCCCUCUCCUCUCUUCUUUUUACUUUAUUGACUUUUCAACUUCUUUUUAUGUUUCUUCUUUUGGGGCCCACUAGCCAAAUAUUACACCUUCCCACCGAGUCAAGUCAAUGUCGCCCCUACCAUCUUCUACGUCUCGACGUGAGGAAGUUAUUGUUGCCCGAGUGACACAUGUAAUGACGCCUUGAGGCCCUCCAUCUUUUCCUUAUCACAACUUGUCCCGUUCUUGCACCGAUUCCUCACUCCUAGUGCGUCCCACUUUCACCAGAUUUCUGAGGAAGAAAGGAAAAUGUCGAGCUCUCAGUGUUUUGAGAACCCACCAAACCUGAGCUCCACUUGCGGAGCAGGACACGUUGAAGAGCUUGCAGGUCUCAAGACUUACGUCACCGGCCCUUCCGAUUCCAAGCGUGCUGUUCUUCUCAUCGCCGAUGUUUUCGGUACUGGCCCAUUUCUUUAAUUUUGAUUUUGUGGUGUUUCUCUCAGUUGGGUCUUUUCUUUUGGUCAAUUAUGUAUAUCUCCUUGGUUCUUUGUCGUUCUUGUGCUUUUCGAUUGGUCCAUGAUAUUGCUGCUUGAUUGAUGAUCUUUGCUCAUCUGUUUGUGCAGGGUAUGAGGCUCCUAAGCUGAGGUAUGGAAUCUUUCUCAAGUUGUUCUAUGUAUAUGUUGUUCUCUAGUGCCAUCUUUUGACGUUUCAUGGUGAAUAAACUCUGUAUUCUCCGGAUAGCAUACAUUUGAAAGCUUUGCUUUUCCGUUCACCUUUCACCUGUGAUGACGAAGAGCAUUAGAUGGCACUUGAGGGCGAAGCCAGUUCAUUCUGGAUGAGUGUGUUUGGCGUUCUUCUGUUCCAAGUUAAAACAUCAUUUGUUGAAUUGUAUAUACACGCGGGACUUCAUGGCAUAGUCCAGCUGACAUUUUAUAUACAUCGCUUGAUUCAAUAUGAAUCACAGUUUUCUUUGUUCUAAUGAUUUCUGCUACUAAUAUGACUCAGCUGGUCAUGUAAUUCGGUUUCAUCUUGAGAUAGAGUUAUCCUUAGUUGCAACACCAAAAUCACAUAAGCUGGGGUUGCCUUCUUGACAGUCCCGGCAUAAUUCUAUGUUUUAACAAGAUUGAGAAUGAUAAGAGUUACCUUUUCAAAUUGUCAUACUUAUUUGCGGAAUGCUUUCGUUGUGUAGGAAACUCGCAGAUAAAAUUGCAUCCGCGGGAUUCUUGGUGGCUGUACCUGAUUUCUUUUACGGAGAUCCCAUUAUUGAUUUCACUAGUCCUAAUUUCAAUUUUGAAGCUUGGUUUAAGAAUCACGGCACGGUGAGUUUUUCACUCCUUCAGGCUGUGAAAGUGUGACAGUACAUUUAGAAGUUCAGAGGAAACAAGGGGCUUUCUACUGUGCAAACUUGAUUUGUAGACUCGAAUCACACGGUGUAAGUUGCAUUGGUAUUUAGACCUGGUUGGAGAUUGCUGGUCAUUUCAAAGAUUUUCGACGCCCAGCAAGAUCUUUAUUAUAUAAAAUUCCAAAUGCAAAACAUGAAACAGCAUAAGUAGAAUAAAAGCCUCAUGAAUUUUGAUGUUACCGACUUUUAGACAGUCUUUUUAUAAACGUUUACUUAAUUUGCUUCUUUAGGAUAAAGGGCAUGAAGAUGCCAAGCCAGUGAUUGCUGCUCUUAAGAGCAAAGGUGUGUCUACCAUUGGGGCUGCAGGAUUUUGUUGGGGAGGUAAAAUUUUCUGAAUUCACUUUCCCAGUUUUGAGGGGGUUGUUGGGUUAAGAAAUGGGAAAUUUGUUCUAGUUGGAAAUUGUGAUCCAUUUUCUCUAAAAAAAUCUAGAGCUACUAACUUAAUCAUUAAGGUGAGAACCUUCUAGAAUUGUUGAGAAUGGAGAUUGCUAGUUGAAUCUAGAAAAUUCACAUGGGAAUGCAAGCAAGCAACAGCCAAGCAUCAAAGAAAAUCCUAGAACAAGUAAGAGGAGUCUAGAGAAGUCCAUGCUUCAAGAGAAGUCUAGAAUUCUAGAAUGCUUCAAGAGAAGUUUAGAAUUCUCUAUCUUAUGUUAGUAGCUAUUUGUAGAGAAGUGUAGAGACUUCCUCCACCUACUUUGGCAGCCUAUAUAAAGGAGCAAGUGCUCCAUGUUUUGGUGAAAGGGAGCUAACCAUAAAAACCACAUCAUGCUCCCUCACCAACACUUCCUUCAACUAUUGUAAAAUUAUUUUAUCCAACUAAUGAAACUAUUUUUGUCCCAUAAACCUUCUCAAAAUAUCCCAUAUCCCAUGUUCUUUAUCCUUUAAUUAUCCUAAUUUAUCCCUUGUCCAUCCUCUACAAACUAUAUCAUACACUUGCACACAACAUCACUAAUAAAAAACUAUCAUCAAUACCAAAACCAUACUUCCGCGCAUAUUUAUAUUUUUAACAGUUCUACAUUGACCAUUGAGAAACUAGUUUUGUUGACUUGCAGAAAAGUUCUUUCAAGUUGUUAAAAAGAGCUUGCCUAUUCUUUUCAGGAGUGGUGCUGGUGAAAUUAGCAGGCACUGAAGACAUUCAAGCAGCAGUUAUUCUGCACCCCGGUCCUAUGACCGAAGAUGCAAUCAAAGGUAAAGCUAUGCCAAUAAACAUGGACUUGCUAUUUUCUUCUCAGCCGCAGCGAUAUAAUUUCUUCAUGAGGGUAUAAGACUUGGUACUUGGCACGGGAGCCUUUAUCGCCUAUUAUGAAAUGCUCAUGAACAAUUAAAUUAUAUGAAUUCUGAUGGGAGUCUGCAAUGCAGCCAAGAGUGACGAAGAAACUCGCUAUAACAUGUCCGGUCAAUCACAAAAAAUCGAUGGCACGACUUUUGUCUACUUGAGAAGUGUUCCUUAAACUGGAAGCCUUAAAAGACCUUAUUUUCUUCUGUUCUUUGUUCAGCUGUCAAGAUUCCAACUGCUAUAUUGGGAGCUGAGAUCGACCAUUCUUCCCCGCCGGAACAACUGAAAAAGUUUGGGGAGAUCAUGUCGGCUAAAACUGAAGUAAGCUUCUUAGGAUGCUUUUCGUUGGUUGCAAACCUAUUGUCAGAAAAUGCAAUCGUUUUUCCACGUUCCCAUCAUUUCGCUUGCAAAGCACUUUCCCUUCCUGGUUAUUUAUACACAUCGCUAAUUCAAAGACCCCGGUUUUGCAGUUUGAGAGCUAUGUGAAGAUAUUCCCUGGUGUUAGUCAUGGAUGGAGUGUGAGGUACGACGACGACAAUGAAUUGGUGGUCAAGAGCGCCGAAGAGGCCCAAGAAGACACUUUGAAUUGGUUCUUGAAGCAUGUCAAGUGAAGAGAACAGAAGGCAUUGAAGCAGAACAUUCUGACGGAAGCAGUAGAUGACAGUAUUGUGUGAGACGAACAGUUUGAGGACUAGUCAUCUAUUGUAAUAUCUGGCGAGGGAACAAUGUACUGUGCUGUUGAUACUUAGAGAAAUAAAGACAUUAGUUUCAUCGCUUAAACUUGGAAGAUUGAAAACGAAAUAUAUCGCCUAGAGUUGUAUCGUGGCGAUUUUCGUGGCGAUUUGGGUGCAUUUUCUAUUCGAAUUGAUCAGAGGUGUUCACUGUCCAUUAAAUGAGGACCACACAAUGGAAUAUGAAACAGCAUAUUCGUUUCCAAUCCCAAGGAUAUGUUAUUUGCAUGGUUACCACCAAGUCAUCAGCUAAAGUGGCUAGUAUCUAAUGUAAUCUCUAGACCACUUAAUUUUAAAUGCAUCCAUUAUAUUAUAAGUUAUAACUUGACAAGUAUGCGAGCAAUUAAGAUUUCAUUAAAAGAUACACGAUCUCAAAAUCGCAUGCCCCAAGAAAAAAAGAAGAAGAGAUGAAAGUAAGGAUAUGGAGAAAAAUAGUAUCCAAAAUAUAUGAGAAACCAACUAUUUGAACUUAUGACAAAAGCGAAGCGUUUGUUUUUGGUCAAGUCUAUAUGCUAGUAGGUCAAGAUUUUUCGAAACUAAGUCAGAUAGACAUGGAAAAAUUCGUCCUUCAUGUAUAUGGUAUAUAUUUUCGCAAUGUGCAUUUGUAUACUGACCAAAAAAUUUCAGCUUUUGGCCAGAUGGUGUUUUUUUGUGAGAGAACGCAUGUCUCCAUCGGGCUAAAUAUAUUAUGGUUUCGUCUUUGUUCGUUUCUCGUCUGUUUCUCACCGGCCCUCUUUCUUGUUUGACAUCAGCAGUGACGUUAAUACGAACCACGAGACCUUUGAUGACUAAUCUGAACCAUAAGAUUACACGGACACCUUUUUCAGACACUGUGAUAUUGUAUCGCGGAUAAGCCAAUGGUUUUCAGAAGGCAAAGCAUGAUUCCACUUAGCGACCAGUGAAUCACCGUAUCAUCUCUCGUCUCUUGGCUCUGUUCUUACCUCGGAAAGAAUAAAGAAACGAAGAAAAAGACCAUGAACAGUAAACAAUGAAAGAAAAGAGAAGAAAAGAUCAAAAUAUCUAUAAUUUUUUUCAAAACGACGUCGUUUUGAGUGGAGUUGUGCAUGUCAAUAUCACUAACCCUUGCCAUGUAAGAUGACAAGCAUUGAUUUGCACCUCUACAUCAGAAUUUCCUGACAUAAAUUAGUUGGAUAGACAAUAUUACAAAAUUGUUGAAAGGUUCAUGACUACACUAGCCGAAUUGGUCAGUUUAUUACAAAAUUGGAACUUGUACAAUUUGUUCACAGCUUUUGGGUAGUUUUUCCCAUCUUAAGUAAGUCGUAAUUCUAAUACAUGGACGCAUAAGCUCUAUGCUUUUCUUAUUAUGAAGGUUGAAUUCCAUUUGAAGGUUAGGUAAUCGUUUUCUGGUUUAGGUAUUUAUUUUUUGUCCUAUGGUGAAUUAGGUGAUGCUUUUUUCGCCUCGUUGGGACAGAGAAAACUGCUUUGUCUCCAAUCCGGCAACUUCCAUAUUGCUGAACCUGGACAUGAAUUUAGUAUCUGUAACACAAUUGUUGAAAUAACCUAAUGAAAAAACCUAGAUUGGUCGAAAUUGGUUGAUUUGGGUCAUCUAGGAACCGGCUUGUUGAAUUAAAGUCUAUCGAACCCAUUGGUUGAUCCAGGCUGAAAUUGGAUUAGUCCACUUAUCAAUUGCGUUAACAUGUCAGGGCUCAACAGCCGGCAAUUAUCUGGAUUUGUAAGAAAGAUCCAUGCAUAGCCGGUGAUGGGCCUUUCUCUCUGGGAAAUUGGACAUUGCUGAAAAAUGCUUUCAAAGAUCUUUCUAUUGGAGUUUUCGAAGUUCUCCAUAUCCACCAAAAAUGUUUAAUUUUUACUAGUUCAGAUUUUCAAAUGAGAUAAAAAAAAAAUCAUUUUGAGAUGUUUGCUUUCAAAAGUUUCUAAAAUAAGUUUCUAAAGAAAAAUACUCGAGUUUAGCGCACAUCAGACGAUCCCUUCCUCGAGACUGUGGAGUGGUUCCUCGGGUCCAAGAUUCGGGGACAAGGGGGUAGGUUUCCCAAGUUCAAGCACUGGAUUCUACGCACUCCCGAGGCUAAGUACGAGGCAUCGGAAGUAGGGGACCGAGGUCCCAUCUUGCUCUGUUACGUAGUGGCGAGUGUUGGGGUCCCUGGUUCAACGCACCAACGUCCCGAGUCCAGCUACUGAAGUUUCAGGACUAAGCAUGGUGGUCUUGAAUUUGACCCACAAGCACCCAAGAUAUUGGGUCCUAGCACUUGGUUCCUAAGUUCGACCCUAAGGUCCUAUGUUUCGCAGCUGAAGUUCCCUAUCUCCAUAGAUGAGGCGAUCGGGUUCUCGAAUUUAGAUGAUAAGGUCUUGGUUUAGCCUUAGGUCAAGGGCAUGGGGAUUGGGGUCCCAAGUUCAAGGUCGAUGACACGGGCGUGUAUUUUAAAUAUUAUAACUUUUUACUAAGUUCCUUGAUAUUUAACAUAUGCUAGGAUAGAAUUUCUUUGUAAUUUAAUUAGAAUUUCAUUAGUUCUUCAAAUAUGUUAAGUUUUCUUGUUAUAUAAAAUAUUGAGAGUUUUCCUCUGUUGCAUUCAUGUGUGUGCGCCAUCGUGUGUAGUGCGAGUGUUCACUUGUGUUGGCAAAUUGCCACUUGUGCAAUCACUCUUUUAUGUUACAUUAAACGGGUCCGGCAUUUGAGCACCGAUGUCUCAAAUUCAACCUUAAGAUGCAAAGCCCGGCCUGUCACACCCCAAAAACUACAAAGAAUGGGGAUGACACAAAGGUCCUUCUUUACAAAGGACGUAGCCUCAAACACAACCAGCAAACUGAUAUUAACUUAUAUAUAUAUCAGAUAAACCUUCAAAUUGGUUGCAACAUCAGAGUUCCUAUAUGUUGGAGAAAUCUUCCUGGAGUAUUUUGAAGCUGAUAAAACGUUUCCAUCAGUCUAGUCUGAAGAUUUGCAGACUCUACUAUUUAAAGUCUGAAGACCUCUGGACUGCCAGACUCAAGACUCAAAGUCUAUUCUCAUUGACAGUUUCUAAUCCGUCGAAGAAGGGCUAUCCAAGACUGGAUGUUUCGUUAAGGAUUUGACCUUAUCGACUGGAGAAGAUCGCUUGGCUAGAUAUGACAUAACGGAAUCCUUUAUUGACUCAAAGAUUGAGGAUCCGAUGAUUGGCGGAGUAUACUUGGAAGGUUCUACUUAUGGAAACCGAGAUCCUGAUUGUAUAGGCGAGCAGGAUUGAUGGGCUAUCGACAUGUUCCUUAAAUAGCUUGAAUGAUCUUCCUAAUUGAUUCUGUCAAACGGGAAGAUUGGAAGAAUUUAUUUGGUAAGUGCCGACGGGUAUGAUGGCAUAAAGGAGUAUAUAAGGAAGACGUUCCAGUUGUUCAAGUGUGUGUGCGAUAGAAGAAUUCCAAAGUCUGAAGCUCUUUGUUCUUAGUCAAUUCAUUUUCUGAGCAAAAUCUUGUAUGCAAAAGAGAGUCCAUAUUCUUGAGAAACCUUGAGGAAGUGUGCUAGAGUAUCUACACUGUGGAAUCAAGGGAAAGCCUUGCUGUAACAACUCUUUUGUUCAUAGUGAAAUCCAGCCGGUGGGCUGUCAAUGUGGAAGAGUGGACGUAGGCUUGGAAUAAGCCGAACCACUAUAAUUUCUGUAUUCAUUUUCUCUUCCCUACUCUCUGCUUUACUUUGAUCAUAAUUCGCUUUGUUAACGAAAGGAGAACUUCCUUUCUAUUGUCUGCUUAGUAUUGCUCUCUUAUCUCGAGAAAAUAUUUUUUACACCUAUUCACCCCCCUCUAGGUGCUUAUACUAGAUAUCUCAAUUGGUAUCAGAGCCUGUGUACUCACUUUGUUUGAAGUGUUUUACUUUAGAGUUAAAGAUCCAUGGCUAGUAUGUUAGCUCCAGGGCUAGUAGAAGGGCAAAGCAAUACCAGACCACCUUACUUUGAUGGAAAUGAAUACAACAUAUGGAAAAACAAGAUGAAGGCGUUCCUAAGAUCAAAGGAUCCUCUGGAAUGGGACGUUAUAGACAACGGAAUCAUUCCUAAAGCUGCACCUGUCUUAGAGAGAGGAAAAGAAACUGUUGAGUCUAGUGAAAUGACUUAGGAAGAGAUAACCAAGAGACAAGCUCUUGAUGCAAAAGUAAUUUAUUCUUUAUAUUGUGCUUUGUCACCUACUGAAUAUAACAGAUUAUCUUCUUGUGUUACAGUGAAAGAAGUUUGGGAUAGAUUACAUAUUACCUAUGAAGGAACCGAUCGAGUGAAAGAAACCAGAAUCAACAUUCUCCUCGGUCAAUACGAAACCUUCAAAAUGAAAUCAGGAGAAUCUAUAACUGAAAUUGUGAAUGGUCUUGAAAAUCAAGGUCAACCAAUUUCUGAUCCCAUGAAAGUAAACAAGCUACUGCGUGGACUCUCCAAGGAUUGGAAUCACAUAAAGACCUCAAUAAGGGAGACACAAAGAAUUAUGCCACUAUCUGUCGAUGAGUUAGUUGGGACUCUUCAGUCUUAUGAAGUGGAACGAAUCAAUGAAGACGAAGAUCCUAAAGGUAAGAAAUCCAUUGCAUUAAAAUCCAAUGAUGAUUAUGAUGUUACAGAUUCUGAAGACGAUAUGGAUGAUGAGGAGCUUGCUCUCAUGAUAAGAAGAUUCAGAAAGCUGUACAGAAAAGGAAGAAGAUUCAAUCCAAAGAAACAAAGUUUUCAAAAGUAACAGACUAAGUUUGUUGAGGAUGAUGAAUCAAAUAGAGAUGUAGUCUGCUUUGAAUGUAAGAAACAUGGACACAUCAGACCCAACUGUCCUCUUCUGAGGAAGAAGAAAGGAAAAACUAAAAAGUAUCGAAAUGCUCUUAAAACAGAAACCUGGAGUGAUACAGAAUGUGAAGAAAGUGAUGAUGAUUAUGCCAAUAUAUGUCUGGUGGCACAAUCGGAUUUAGAUUCAAAUUCCAAGACAGACUCAGAUUCAGACAGUGAAGUUGAGGUGAGUAACUCUAAAAUCCUUAUUAAAGUUUCUAAAUACAUUGAUGAGUUGUGUUUUAGUCUUAAGACUUCUCUUAAAAUGAUUUCCGAACUUAAAAAGGAAAAUUCUGCAUUAAAACAACAGGAAAAUGUUUUAAAAGAAAAGGUGAAAUGUUUAGACAUGAAUGUUUCUACUCUUAAAGAAAGAGAAGACAACCUUUCGAAAGAAAAUGUAUUUUUAAAAAAUGACAUAUCAAAUAUUUCCAAAAGAUUUUCAAUAGGAUUUGAGAAACUUGAGAAAAUUCUUUCAGCACAAAGACCUUAUUUCAAUAAAUCUGGUUUGGGAAUGACUGUGGAAACCAUUCCUUUAAUUGAUUUUCCUAAAGUGAAGGAAAGAAUUAAGCAAAGACCCAUAAGAGAUGCUUACAAAAAUCAUUUUAAAAAGGUCUUUGUAAAACCAAUAGGUCUCAAUGCUCUCAGAUGUUCAAAGUGCAAUAGUUCAGAUCAUUUUGAGAAAGAAUGUCCUAUGGUUUUGAAACCUGUUAAAAAAGUAUGGGCAAAAACUGCAUAUCAUACUAACACCAAUGGACCCAAUAAAAUAUAGGUACCAAAGAAAGUUUGAGUCUCUUUUUUAAAUGCAGGUCACUAUCAAGAAGAAGGUAAAAUGGUAUCUAGAUAGUAGAUGCUCAAGACAUAUGACAGGAGAUUCAAAUUGCUUCAUAAAGCUCAUUCAAGUAAAUGGUGGAAAAGUAUCAUUUGGAGGAAACAUCAAAGGAAGAAUUGUGGGAUUUGGAACUGUAAAUAUUGAAAACCUCACAAUCAGCAAUGUUUCCUUAGUGGAAGGACUCAACUACAAUCUGCUCAGUAUCAGUCAGUUGUGCGAUACCAGUUUCAAAAUCAACUUUCAAGAAAGAAUAUGUUCAGGAACUAGUAAAGAUUCCACUCAGUCAUCAUGGGUCGAAGACAUGGAAAUAUCUACCUCUUGGACGUGAAACCAGAUGAAUCGCAAUGUCUAAUCUUAAUUCAAGACGAAGCGAACUUAUGGCACAGAAAACUUGGGCACAUCAAUAUGAAGCAAAUAGCCAAAAUUUCAGCAAAGAAGCUAGUUCGUGAUCUACCCAAUCUGUCAUACCAAAAGUCUGAUCUAUGUACACCAUGUGUAUUGGGAAAGCAGGUAAGAAAUUCAUUUAAACCAAUAAAUCAAGUUUCCACUAAUUGUGUACUGCAGCUUCUACAUAUGGAUCUCUUUGGAUCAACCAGAACUCAGAGCAUUAGAGGUAAAAAAUAUUGCCUAGUAAUUGUGGAUGACUACUCACAAUUUACUUGGGUAUAUUUCCUGACAAGUAAGUCUGAAACAUUUAUUUACUUUGAAAAGUUUGCUAAAAAGAUUCAAAAUGAAAAAUGGUAUGAUAUUUCAAGUAUAAGAAUAGACCAUGGAGGUGAAUUUGAAAAUCAAUAUUUUACAAAAUUCUGUGAUGAAUCUGGUUUUCAGCAUGUGUUCUCCUCUCCAUAUACUCUAGAGCAAAACGGAGUUGUGGAAAGAAAGAAUAGGCCGCUUCAAGAAAUGGCUAGAACUCUUUUAAUUGAAAGUAACAUCUCUUCACGUUUUUGGGCUGAAGCAGUUUCUACAGCAUGUUAUAUUAUUAAUAGAGUUUUUCUAAGACCUAUUAUGGAAAAAAAAAACCCUAUGAGUUAUUCAAAGGAAAAAAAGCCUAUUGUUUCAUAUUUUCAUGUGUUUGGAUGUAAAUGCUUUAUAUUGAAAAAUGCAAAUGAUCGAGUUGGCAAGUUUGAAGAAAAAUCAGACGAAGGCAUCUUCCUUGGAUAUCCUACCUCAAGCAAAGCCUACAGAGUCUACAACAAGAAGACUCAAUCUGUGGAGGAAUCAAUGAAUGUCAAAUUCCAAGAUUUUAUGCAAAAUGAAUCUAUUCAGACCCAUCUUGAAGAAUCUGAACCUGCUCCAGACUCUACAAAGUCUAAAUCUCAAGAAGCAGUUCAAACUUCGAAAGACUAGCAUCAAAUGAUUGUUGAAGAUUCAAAUGAAGAAAGUGAUAAUCAACCUGACAAAUCAACCAGUAACUGGAAGCAUAAGUCUAGUCAUCCCAAAGAUCUCAUUAUAGGCGAGAUUAAUGAAGGAAUUCGCACAAGAUCCAAAAUGCGCGAAGAGUCUAGUGGUGUACCUCUUAUUUCUGAAAUAGAACCCAAAAGCAUAAAAGAAGCUUUAUCUGAUGAAAGCUGGAUUGAAGCCAUGCAAGAAGAACUCAGGCAAUUCAGUAUUAAUGAUGUCUGGGAAUUGACUCCUAAACUGAAAGAUAAAUAUAUUAUUGGAGCUAAAUGGGUUUUCAGGAACAAGAUGGACGAGAAAGGAAAGGUCGUAAGAAACAAAGCAAAACUCGUGGCCAAGGAAUAUACGCAAGAAGAAGGGAUAGACUAUGAUGAGACUUACGCACCAGUAGCGAGGUUAGAAGCAAUUAGAAUAUUACUUGCUUUUGCUUGUUAUAAGUUAGCUGUGGACUAGGAUCCUUAUGUGAAUGAUCCAGGGUCAAUUUACAACAUCCAUGUAUUGGAAUCUCUAAGCUCCCGAGAUUAUAUAUGAGGCACUAAGUAGGACACCGAGGUCUCGUCUUGCCUUGUUGUCUAGUGGCGUGUGUUGGGGUCUUAGGUUCAAGGCACUAACGUUCUUAAUCCAAGAGGUCUUGAGACUAAGCAUUGACGUCUCGAAUUUGAUCCAUAAGGGCGUGUUUGAUAACGUUUCUGUUGCCGGGAACAAUUUCUAAGCAUUUUAAGCCGUUUGGUAACUGUCCAAAAUUUCAAUUCUCGGAAUAGAAUUGCGUUUAGUACAGUGCUCAAAAUUUCUACUCCAAAUCAUUUUCUUUUAAUUUUUAAAUAUUUUUAUUAAUUUUUUUCCUUUUUUCUUCUUUUCUUUUUUCCCUUUCUUUCUCAUAUUCUUCUUCUUCAAGUGGCCAAUUGUCAACAGGUUGGUCGGUGACUGGCUAGACGAGAGUUGGCAACCUCACCGGAGCGUUGCCAACCCUUGGCGAGGACGGCCAUCGUUGGCCGAGCCUCGCUGGCAGCUGGGCAAGGCUCGGCCAAGCCUCAGCGGGGUUGGGGGAGGCCCGCUUGGCCACCGACGAGGCUCGCCUAGCCCUUUUGAGCCUCACUGAACUAGUUGCUAGUGAUUGGUGAUGGUGGGCGGCGGAUGGCGAACGGCAACCACGGCGGUGGCAGUAGAUGAAGAAGAAGAAAAGGGAAGAAGAACAAGAAAAUAAAAAGAGAAAUUGAUUUUAGAAUUGUUCCCAAGAACAAGAAUCAACCUUUUUUAUUUUUAUUUUUUUAUUCUUGAUUCUGUUCCAAAUCUACUUUCGGGAACAAAAACAUAGAAAUUUAUUUCUGAGAACAAAAUUUUUACUAAACACGAUUCUAUUCCAAAAUUGCUCAUGGGAACAAAAGAAUAUAAAUUUUUACUAUUUGGCCAGUUAGCAAACAUGACCUAAGCAAGCACCCAAAGGUCAUGGGUCUGGGCAACUGGGACCUAAGUCCAACCACAAGGUUCUAUGUUUGGUAGCCAAAGUCUCAUCUCUUCAUGGAUUCAACAGUUUGAGUUUUGAGUUAAGAUGCUGAAGGCUUGGUUCAACCCUAGGUGCUAGGGACCGCGCCCAUUGUUCCCAAGUUGAUGACAUGGGAUGCAUGUUUUUAAAUAUUAUGAUUUUUAUUUAUUCUCUUGUCUUUCUUUAUUUUAGAAAUUAUUUUAGAAUACUGGAUGAUUUGUUUCAAUAGUUAUCAUUUACAUAUUUAAGAUAUCGUGGGAUAGAAUUUCUUAUUAGUUUACAUAUUUCCUAUUAUAAAAUUAGAAUUUCCUAAGUGUUUUAGAUAUAAAUAUGCAUUGUGUUUUCUUGUAAUUUGGCUUAUUUAUUGAUGAAUAAAGGGAAAAUUUCAAAUGAGGGCAUAUGGUGCUCUCAUUUUCUCAAAUAAGUGCCUGAAGUAACCGUUAUUUUAAAUAAGGGCUAGAAAAAAAUGAAUUGACCAAAUUCUCUCGAAUAAGGACUUUUGGCUAGCCGUUGACUAUUCUGCCAUUGGAGAAAGGGUAUUUUAGUAAAAAAAGUUCUAAGUAUAUAUUUUUUAUUUUUCUCUCCUUGCCAUGCCUCAAGUGAGGGUUGCCUUUGCUGGCGUUGGGUGAGGGUGAAGGUUGCCCUUGUUAGCCCAAGUGAGGCGAUCCUUGCCAAAUGCUGGGGAGGAGGAGCCGUUGCCUGAGUCCAGCAACUUGAUGGAAAAGGGGGAAAAAAGAAAAAGAAAAUAACAAAAAAAAAAGAAAAAAAAAGGAAUUUUUGUAAAGAUGAAAAUGCCUUUCGAUCAGCAAGGUUAGCCUCUUCUUUGAGACCAAUAUGGCUACUUUAGGUAUUCAUAUGAAACAAUUUCACUUCAAGCCCUUAUUUGAGAAAAUUAUAGCACUUCAAGCCCUUAUUUAAAAUAAAGUCUACUUUAGGCCAUUAUAUGAGAAAAAAAAAAGGAACACUUUAAGCCCUUAUUUGGAAUUUUCCCAUGAAUUAAUGAAAAAAUAGUGAGGUUUUCUUUGUAGCAUUUCGUGUAUGUGCAUCGAAAUGCAUAUCAUGAGUGUUUACUUGCGUUAAGGAAUUCUCAUAUAUGCUAUCACUCAUUUAGGUUAUGUUGGGCUAUCAUAGGUGUUGUCUAGGCAUCACUUGUCUAGCAGUAGUGCUUGUUCAACACUUGUUGCUCCAUAGCUUGCAUAUAAACUAAUUCGAUUUGGAUCACCAUUGGGUUUUUAUUUCUUAACCAUACCAAUUUGCUUCUUAAAUUCACCAAUUUAUCGAAAGGUUGAAAAAAUAAAAUCCAUGCCUAAUAAUUAGGGAAAAUAAAAGUUUAAUAUCAUCUCUGGUAGGAGCUGGAUUUAUAGUGCCACUAGUGAGCAAUUUCACCCAAAAGAACAUGUUUAAUUGAGAAACCUUGAACCGACACAAACAAGGAAAGGAUUACCCACAAAGGGCAAGACAGAAAAGGUGAAAUAUAGACUCCACCUUAAAAAAAAAAACCCAAUUAUAGAUUCACCAUCAUAGCAUCCAGCCAAAAGAUGGAAAAAGGAAGGAACCCCAUCGAUUGCGACAAUCACUAUCGGAAAAUAGAUAAGCUUCGCACAACUUGUGCACUCCACAAAAUGAUUGCGCCCGUCACAAGUUAUGGAGCGCCCCAAUGUCAACAUCUUUAGGGCUAGAACGGCUUAAUUGAUAAGAAAUCAUCUUGAUUAUCAUCAAGACAACGUUGGCCUAAGAAAUCGAGUCUGAUUGGGAUUUGGAAAAAAAUGCAUAUAUUCGCGUCGAUAAUGACAUUUUACGCGCGCGGGUAACAUUUUCAAUGGUGGGAUUGGUGUAGGUCUGCGCAUCCAGAAAUGAUUGUUGCGACAAUGAGUCUUUAUCUUGAUAUUGAUUAAGUUUAACGCGUUUUUAUAAAGAGUCAAAUGAUUUAUUUUUUUUUAAAGCAAAGAAUUAAUCAUUAUUUGAUGCCUAGGGGGCCGUGCCAAACACAGAGAACGAGGAGACAUCGCCAUAGAAAAAGUUGGUACCUUGAUUUGACGGAUUUUUUCAUACUACACACAUCAACCGUUCACGUACUCCAAAGGCGGGGCCUCUCAUGCUUCGAGUCAUGAAAUACCCACAAGAAUUUAUUUGCUUUGUCACUAUAUUAUUUAUCACCUAUGUAUGUAUUUAUGCAUCAACUUAGGUGAAAAUCAUCAUAUAUAAACCGAACCACUAUGAGUCAAAUUAUUCCAUACAUACAUACAUACAUACAUAUAUAUAUAUAUAUAUGUAUAUAUGUAAAGUAUGUUUGUUUUGUGAUUUUUGCUCUAUUAAGUUAAUGUAACAUGUACAAAAGGCGAUCGUCCGACGAGUUUGAGAUUUUACAAAACACAAGCUAAAUUGUUCCCUCUAGUCAAUUUCAAAAGAGUUGGAAUAUUGCAAACUUAACGAAUUUUUAUUUUCUUUUGAAAAACAGAACACCAUUUGUCCGCACAACAAGAGGAGACAUUACCAAAUUUUGUGGACAUGCUUUGUCCGAGACCCAGCCCAUGUCCAGCAGCCCAGAUUGUGAUGGGUCCAGCCUGGACAGGCCCAUGGGGUGGCUGAUGGGCCUUGUCAAACACUAUUCAGUUGCUCUCCUAAGCUACAUAAACGAUCAACGAUAAAAUUCAAUGUCACAAGACAAUUUUCUAUCGGGCACAAUGCAAAUAAUGAGGUCCUAGAAUUAUAUAAUUGCUUUUGAGAUGCGAAGUUCUCAUUUAUCUAAAUCAAUCGUAGCAUGGCAAGUGUUACCAACUUCCUUAUCUUCUUUCAAGAUUAAUAAUAGUAUUUUUCCACAUGAUGAUCCACUUGGAUGGAUUGAAAUGUCAUACUUUGAGAGCACAUAAUUUUUUUUUUAGUAGAUAGAUAUUUUAUUCCUUCUCCUGUUUGCAUUCUAAUAUAAAAAUAUGAAUGCCGCUACCCAAUAUGCUUUCCACUUAAUGAUUGGAGCGUUGAUCUUGUUGUAAAUGCUAGAUCAUCAACUAGGCCGUCUUAAUAAAGAUUAGUUGAAGUUUGCUAUACUUAAGCUCUUUGUGAGGUGCCCAAAACGAGCUCCAAAUUGCAUAAAGACCUUUGACAUGAGCCUGUAAUUUGAAGAGACAGUCGACGUGACCCCAAGUUUUGUAUAUUUGUAAUCUUAACGCAUGUAUGUUGUGGACCUACUUGGUCGCAUCCCAUAUGCUUGGGUUUUGUCAUGUUCAAUUGGAUGUCGCCAUAUCCAAGUUUGUCAUAGCUGUCGACCUAGACUAGGUAAGAACCACAUCAAUUUGCUUCAGUCGGUCGUGAGUAAAUUAUGAGCUGGGAUAAAUGCAAGUGAAUCUCAAGUGAUGCACUGGAGAAAAUAUUUGGAAAUGCCAUCGAACCUCACCUUUUGUCACUUCUAAGUAGUUAUUGAAUGAUCGGGAACGCCUUCUGUCACACCCGAAAACUACAAAGAAUGGGGAUGACACAGCCGUCUAUCCACACGAAGGACGUAGCCUCAAACACAACCAAUAAACUGAUAUCAACUUAUAUAUAUCUCAAAUCAUAUAUAUACAUAUCAGAUAAAUCAAUAAAUUGGUUGCAACAUCAAAAUUUCUAUAAUCCACCAAAAAAGAUAUACGUUUAAAACUCAGACAAUACAACCACUAGCAGGGAUCAUAUGCACCACUUCCUUAAACCAUACCAAAGAAAAUAAAAAUAGGACUCCCUAAAAGUUUCCCACCAACGGCCCUCUCGCUCUAUUCGCUGCUAACCGAGGAACUUGAAAAGAUUAAAAGAGGAGUGGGAUGAGCAACAACAACUUAGUGAUACCAAACUUCAUAACGCCAACUCAAUAUAUAAAAUACAUAUCAAAUCUUAUAAGAGUUAUUUCUUAUCAUCAAAGCUUAAUAAUAAUAUGGAAAACUCAUUUAAAUCGCCAUCAAAAGUCAAGUAUCAAUAGUCGAAUCCAUUGAAUAAUCUCCAUCAAAAAUACAUAUCAAUGGUCUAUCCAUUCAUUCAUCUCAUAUCAAACACACAUCGAUGGUCUAUCCAUCGACCAAUCUUUUGUUCAAUAACUAACUAUGGUCACGACACAAUGCCUUGUGACAAGGUGACCAAGAUUUCCCCUUGGCAAGGUCUCCACCUACAAAGUCGAUGGCUGGGCCCAGAAGGAUAUCCCAAACCUAGUAUGCAUACCCCAAAAAGCCCUUACUGGGUUCACAGUCAUAUUGAGCAUAAAUAACCAUUCUUCAAUACUAGAAAACCCAAUUCAGAAAUCAAUAUCUUAAACCAAACAAAUAACAUUUGCGGCAUAGCCCAUCAUCCAUUUUAUAUCCAUUUCUCAAAUCAUCAUAAACAUUUUCAUGAAUCAAUCACAAGGCAAUUUCAUAGAUAUUUCUCCACUUACUUUGUAUAAUACACUUUUCAAACAUCCACAAUCAACCAAUGAGUAGCAAUUGCUCGACCUGGCUUUUAUGCAAUAAAAAUGCUCUUCUCGAUUCAAUAUAUAUACAUAUAUAUACUUCAAGACAUGGUUUUUACAAAACCAAAGAAGAUAUACUACCACUCACCUCGUCCUCUACGACCAAACGACGAACGAUACUCGUAUCGUCGAACUCAAUGCCCUAUCAAAUAACCGAGAAAAAUGUUAAAAUCUAAUAAAACUCUAUCUCAACUACGAAACAACUAAAUUACGCCUUAACUCUAACAAAAGGAUUUCUACUCGCUAAUAAUUCGCAUAACCAAAACGAUUGUUCAAGCCAUUCGUGACGUGGAGUUUAAGCGCAAAACUUAGUUACGCAAUAACUUUCUCAUCCAAACCCCGUUCCGAACGUACUUUUGGUCAAUAAAGAGCCCUUGACACAUAUUACAAGAAUCCCAACUUGACUGUCCCAAAAUCAAGCAAAAAGAUGACAAAAUACGGGUCCAAAGCUGUUGGACACGUACUGUUCAUUGCGCGCGAGAAACUUUGAAAUUUUGUUUUGGAAAAACUUAUUAGCUCAAAUCACGAUCCAUAAAAUCCCACGGCUCCACAACACACUAAACUACCAUUCCUACAAAAAUACGCGGCUUAACGACUCCAAAAUCGGACUUCGCCGCUCGAUUUUCCAAAAAUUCCGAAUUUGAACCUUGAACCCAUAAACUGCUUCAAUUGGACGAAUGGGGGGCCUAAUCUCUUACCGGGUGCUGCAUUAUGGGAUCGAGUUGGCUUGGUGAGGCAUCUGAGGCAUGCAUGUGCCAAAACUUCUUUCCUUUCUUCUUCUUCUUCUUAUUUAUUUAUUUAUUUUUGGUUGAGGACCCCUCAGCUUCUAUUUAACCGAGCCCUGACUUUUCAACUUCUUUUUCUGUUUUUUCUUUUGGGGCCCAGUAGCCAAAUAUUACAUUCUACCUUCCUAAAAAAAAAUUUCGUCCUCGAAAUUUACAUGUACUUCAAUCAUAAAACAAGUGAUGGUAUUUGUGUCAUGCCUCCUCCUCGAGUUCCCAAGUAGCCUCUCUCUCGGUGUGGUUUUGCCAUUGUAUUUUCACAUAAGGAAUAGUUCGUCGCCGCAACACCUGAUCCUUCUUAUCGACAAUGCAAAUAUGUUGUUCCUCAUAUGUCAAGUUCUCCCGUAAUCUCAAUGGAGUAAAGUCUAGCACAUGUUCAGGAUUUGCACAUAUUUCCGCAACAAAGAGACAUGGAACACAUUAUGGACAGUUGAUAGUGCCGGUGGCAAAGCCAAUUUAUAAGCGACUUCACCAAUUUUCUCUAAGAUCAAGAAUGGUCCCAUGUACCUUGGAUUUAACUUCCCACGUGUGUCAAAUCUCGUUACACCCUUCGUAGGAGAAACUUUUAAGAACACGUGAUCCCCCACAUUAAAUUCUAACUUGCGUCUUUUUAGAUCCGCAUAACUUUUCUGAUGAUUUUGAGCCGUUCUGAGACGUUCUCGAACCAACCUAACUUUCUCUUCUAAUUGCUGGAUGAACUUAGAGCCAGUUAGUCUUUUCUCACCAACGUCUUCCCAAAAAAUAGGACUUCUACAUUUUCGUGCCAUCUUAAUACUGGAGUGAUAAUUGUUGUUAUAAGAAAAUUAUGCCAAAUAUAGAUAUUCAUCCCAAGAACCGCCAAAGUCAAUGAUGCAUGAUCUCAACAUAUCCUCUAAUGUCUGGAUCGUUCUCUCUGAUUGUCCAUCUGUUUGUGGAUGAAAAGCUAUACUUAAGUUGAGUUUAGUGCCCAAUGCUGCUUGCAAACUCUUCCAAAAGUUAGACACGAACCUAGGAUCCCUAUCAGAAAUAAUGCUUACAGGAACUCCAUGAAGCUUCACUAUCUCAUUAACAUAUCGCCUUGCCAUAUCUUCCAUUGAAAGACCAAAUCGAUAUGACAAAAAGUGAGUGGACUUAGUCAAUCGAUCACCAUUCACCCAAAUAGAAUUCCUACCACUGGGCGUCCUCGGUAGACCAACUACAAAGUCCAUGGCAAUAUGCUCCCACUUCCAUGUAGGUAUCUCUAGAGGUUGCAACUAUCCACCUGGUUUAUGAUGUUCAAUUUUCACUGGCUGGCAAACUAAACAUUGAUCAACAAAUUUUAUAAUAUCAUUUUUCAUGUUGAUUCACCAAAAGUUUUUUCUCAAGUCCCUAUACAUUUUAGUGCUUCCCGGAUGAAUUGAAAAUCUAGUACUGUGAGCUUCUUGCAGGAUCUCCUUUUUCAGCUUUGAGUCCUCAGGAACACAUAGUCAACCACGAAACCUCAAGGAUCCAUCUAUGUGUAAACUAAAUCUGCUUGUCUUUAAGCUUCCACAGCUUCUCUAAUUUUUUGUAAUUGUGGAUCUUCAUUCUGUUUAGCCUUAAUUAUGUUAAUCAACAUAGGUUGUACUUGAAGAUUAGCUAAUUGAGCACCAAGCUGCUGCACCAACACCUCUAAGUCUAACUUCCUCAUAUCUUCAAGAAUGAGUUUUUAAGAAGUGAGCAAAGCUACCAUAUUUCCAAAGGAUUUACGACUCAAAGCAUUCGCUACCACAUUAGCCUUACCCAGAUGGUAAUUAAUGGAUAAGUCAUAAUCAUUCAAAAGUUCUAACUAUCUUCUUUGCCUCAUGUUCAGUUCUUUCUGAGUAAAAAUAUACUUUAGACUCUUGUGAUCGGUAAAGGCUUCACAUUUUUCACCAUACAAAUGAUGCUGCCAUAUCUUCAAGGCAAACACAACCGCCGCUAACUCCAAAUCAUGAGUGGGGUAGUUCUUCUCAUGUAAUUUCAAUUGUCUAGAAGCAUAGGCAACAACUUUGCUAUUUUGCAUAUAAACACAACCCAAACCUUCUUUGGAUGCGUCGCAAUAGAUUAUGAAGCCACCACUUCCAGAAGGUAGAGUUAGAAUAGGAGCCGACACCAGCCGUCUCUUCAACUCUUGAAAACUAUGUUCACAUUGGUCUGACCAUUCAAAUUUAACUUUCUUCUGGGUUAGACGGGUAAGUGGACUAGCAAUCUUUGAGAAUCCCUCUACAAAUCGCUUAUAGUAGCUGGCUAGCCCAAGAAAACUUCUCACUUCUGUAACAUUAGUUGGACGAUUCCACUUAACAACUACUUCAACCUUCUUUGGAUCCACUAAUAUGCCAUCCUUCGAGAUCACGUGACCCAAGAAUUCUAUAUGAUCAAGCCAAAAAUCACACUUACUAAAUUUGGCAUACAACUUCUUUUCAUGUAAAGUCUGCAAGACAAACCUCAAGUAUUGUUCGUGUUCCUCUAAACUCUUCGAAUACACUAGGAUGUCAUCAAUGAACACCAUAAUAAAUUUGUCUAGAUAUUCCCUGAACACUUUGUUCAUCAAGUCCAUGAAGGCAACAAGCGCAUUUGUUAAUCCAAAAUGCAUGACGAGAAAUUCAUAAUGGUCAUACCUUGUUCUAAAAGUGGUUUUAGGCACAUCAUCUGUUUUUAUCUUCAACUGAUGAUACCCAUAACGAAGGUCAAUCUUGGAAAAUACCUGAGCUCCCUGAAGUUGAUCAAAUAAAUCCUCAAUCCAAGGCAAAUGAUAUUUGUUUUUAACCGUUACCUUGUUAAGCUCUCGAUAAUCUAUGCAAAGCUGCAUACUACCAUCCUUCGUUUUCACAAAUAGAACAGGAGCUCCCCAAGGCGAAACACUAGGUUUGAUGAAACCUUAUCGAAAAGCUUUUCAGUUGCGUUUUCAAUUCUUUCAAUUCAGUGGGUGCCAUCCGAUAUGGUGCCUUAGAGAUUGGUGCUGUACCGAGCAUCAAUUCAAUACAAAACUCAAUUUCUCUAUCAAGAGGCAAGCUUGGUAAAUCCUCAGGAAACACACUUGGAAACUCUCUAACGACAGGAACAUCUUCCAACUUUACUACAACCUUAUGUGUGUCUUUUACACAAGCUAAAUAACCACAACAGCCUUUUCUCAAAAGUUUCCUUGCUUGCAAAGCUGAGGUCAACCUUGGAGAAAUGUUUUGACAACUUCUCGAAAAAGAGAAUUCGGGUUGAUUCGAAAGUCUAAGUAUCACCUUUUUUGAAAAACAGUCAACAAUAGCACGAUAGGUAGAUAACCAAUUCAUUCCUAUAAUAACAUCGAAAUCUCGAAUAUUUAACUCUACUAGAUCCACAGGCAUUUCAACAUUUUUAAUCUGAAUCACACAUCUCUUGAACACAUGAUGACCAACUAAGAAAUCGCCAGUGGGAGUAUCAACACACAAUUCACAUUCAAGAGGGUCAGGCAACACAUCAAGCUUCUUUGCAAUUUCAGUUGAAAUGAAGAAGUGCGUAGCACCAGGAUCAAAUAAGGCAUAAGCACAUUGUGAGGCAAUAGAAAUAUUACGUGCAACAAUUGCGUUAGAUGCUGCCGCAUCCUCCUUCGUCAUUGCAAAAACUUUCUCACUUGUACUUUGUCUUUGUUAGUUCUCUUGGGGCCUACCAACGAAAGGGGUAUUCCUCCGCAUGGAACACUGGUGUGCUAGGUGGCCUUGUCGCUCACAUAGAUUACAUGAUCUAUUGCCAAUAGGAGGAUUCCUUUGUGUAGAACAAUCUCGCAGCAUGUGUCCCGCUUUCCUACAUGAGAAGCAUACUUCAAUUUUCCGAUGACACUCACUGCGAUGAUAACUUCCACAUGUAUUACAAGGGCCCUGGUUACUCGGAUUUCUGAACUAUCCUGGCCGGCUGAAACCUCUUCGCCUUCCACUACCAUCAGUAUGGCUACCUUGUACAUUUGUGGGCUUAAACCUUUUGGGUUUAGGCGCUCCUUGUGUGCCAUGCUUCAGAAUGCUUUGUUCCACCUUGAUUGUCCGUUCUAGCACAUCCUUAUAAGUUUUUAAUAUGAAAGGUGCAAGUGCAGAAUUAAUUUUAGGUCGGAGCCCUCCUAGGAAAUGGUCGGCCUUAUCUUCCUCAUUUGCUACCUAGUGCUCUGCAAAUCUACUCAACUGAUUAAAGCGAACUGAAUACUCCAAGACCGUGGAGUCACCCUCAGAUAUAUGUACAAAGUCACCCUUCAUCUUUGCCUGGAAUGACUUUGGGAAGAAUUGAGCAUUGAACGCCUUUUAAAAGUCCUCCCAAGAUAUAAUAACAUCCCUACCUCCAAGACUUGGCUUCAUUCCAUCCCACCAAAACUCUGCUUCACCUUCCAGGUAUUGGGUGGCAAAUUGAACUUUCCGAUCCUCGGGAACCUCUUCAGCUUCAAAGAUCCCAUCAAUCUUUUUAAUCCAACGCUUAGUCGCAAGAGGAUCAGCUUUCCCAUCAAAAGUGGGUGGUUUUGCCUUUCUUAAAUGGGCAAAAGUGCCUGAGCCAGUCGCUCCAUCUCCAGUUAAUUCUUUUGCUUGGUGAUACCAAUGGAUCAUUACUUGUUCAAAUUCAGUUGAACAGGUUGGCUCUUGAUCCUCUUCUUUGACUUCGCGCAAGUUAGGACUCCUAUUAUAGUGGUCCUCAAGUCUCCUUCUCAAAAACUCACCUCGAGAAGCUUGAGGUAUGUCUCUAGCCUCAGGGGUAGUGACUCGUUUGCCUUUGCGGCUCCUACGAAGCGAGGCAAGUGUCUCAAAGUUGGUACUCAUGAUCACCUGAAUCUAAUAAUGAAACUACACCUUAGAAUCUAGAAGACUAACGCAAAAAUAAAAUCUAUCACACAACCUCACAACAUCCCAUAACUACAUCCAAAAAGAUCAAAACUUAGGCUCUGAUACAAAAAAUGUCACACCCCAAAACUACAAAGAAUGAGGAUGACACGGCCAUCAUUCCACACGAAUGACGCGACCUCAAACACAAUCAACAAACUAAUAUCAACUUAUAUAUAUCUCAAAUCAUAUAUACACAUAUAAGAUAAACCAACAAAUUGGUUGCAAUAUCAGAGUUUCUAUAAUCCACUAAAAAAAAUAUACGUUUAAAACUCAGACAAUACAACCACUAGUAAGGAUCAUGUGCACCACUUCUUUAAACCAUAUCAAAGAAAAUAAAAAUAGAACUCCCCAAAAGUUUCCCACCAACGGCCCUCUCGCUCUAUUCGCCGCUAACCGAGGAACUUGAAAAGAUUAAAGGAGGAGUGGGAUGAGCAACAACAGCUUAAUGAGUAGUACAUCUCUUCUAAGUAGAUCGAACAACCAUUAUGCAUGUAUAUAAAGUAAUACCAAACUUCAUAACGCCAACUCAAUAUAUAAAAUACAUAUCGAAUCUUAUAAGAGUUAUUUAUUAUCAUCAAAGCUUAAUAAUAAUACGGAAAACUCAUUUAAAUCGCCAUCAAAAGUCAAGUAUCAAUGGUCGAAUCCAUUGAAUAAUCUCCAUCAAAAACACAUAUCAAUGAUCUAUCCAUUCAUUCAUCUCAUAUCAAACACACAUUGAUGGUCCAUCCAUCGACCAAUCUUUUGCUCAAUAACUAACCAUGGUCACAACACAACGCCUUGUGAUAAGGCGACCGAGAUUUCCCCUUGGCAAGGUCUCCACCUACAAAGUCGAUGACUGGGCCCAGAAGGAUAUCCCAAAUCUAGUAUGCAUACCCCAAAAAGCCCUCACUGGGUUCACAGUCAUAUUGAGCAUAAUAACCAUUCUCCAAUACCAGAAAAUCCAAUCAAGAAAUCAAUAUCUUAAACUAAACAAAUAACAUUUGCAGCAUAGCCCAUCAUCCAUUUCAUAUCAAUUUCUCAAAUCAUCAUAAACCUUUUCAUGAAUCAGUCGCAAAGUAAUUUCAUAUAUAUUUCUCCACUUACUUUGUGUAAUACACUUUUCAAACAUUCACAAUCAACCAAAAAGUAACAAUUGCUCAAUCUGGCUUUUAUGCAAUAAAAAUGCUCUUCUCGAUUCAAUAUAUAUAUUUCAGGACAUGAUUUUUAUAAAAUCAAAGAAGAUAUAGUACGACUCACCUUGUCGUCUACAACCAAACGACGAACGAUACUCGUAUCGUGGAAUUCAAGGCCCUAUCAAAUAACCAAGAAAAAUGUUAAAAUCUAAUAAAACUCUAUCUCAAUUACGAAACAGCUAAAUUACGCCUUAACUCAAACAAAAAGACUUCUAUGCGCUAACAAUUCGCAUAACCAAAACGAUUGUUCAAGCCAUUCGUGACGCGGAGUUUAAACGCAAAACUUAGUUACGCAAUAACUUCCUCCUCUGAACCCCAUUUUGAACGUACUUAUAGUCAAUAGAGAGCCCUUGACAAAUAUUACAAGAAUCCCAACUUGACUGUCCCAAAAUCAAGCUGAAAGAUGACAAAAUACGGGCCAAAAGUUGCUGGACGCGUACUGUUCACUGCGCGCAAGAAACUUUGAAAUUUUGUUUCGGACAAACCAUAUGCUCAAAUCAUGAUCCAUAAAAUCCCACGGCUUCACAACACCAUGAACUACCAUUCCUACAAAAAUACGCAGCUCAACGACUCCAAAAAUGGACUUUGCUGCUCGAUUUUCUAAAAGUUCCGAAUUUGACCCCUAAACCCAUAAACUACUUCAAUUGGACGAACGAGGAGCCUAAUCUCUUACCGGGUGCUGUGUUAUGGGGUCGAGUUGGCUUGGUGAGGCGUUCAAGGCGUGCACGUGCUAAAACUCUUUUCCUUUCUUCCCCUUUCUCUUCUUUCUUUUCUUUCUGGUUGAGGACCCCUCAGCUUCUAUUUAACCGAGCCCUCUCCCCUCUUCUUUUUACUUUAUUGACUUUUCAACUUCUUUUUAUGUUUCUUCUUUUGGGCCCCACUAGCCAAAUAUUACACCUUCCCACCGAGUCAAGUCAAUGUCGCCCCUACCAUCUUCUACGUCUGGACGUGAGGAAGUUAUUGUUGCCCGAGUGACGCAUGUAAUGACGCCUUGAGGCCCUCCAUCUUUUCCUUAUCACAACUUGUCCCGUUCUUGCACCGAUUCCUCACUCCUAGUGCGUCCCACGUUCACCAGAUUUCUGAGGAAGAAAGGAAAAUGUCGAGCUCUCAGUGUUUUGAGAACCCACCAAACCUGAGCUCCACUUGCGGAGCAGGACACGUUGAAGAGCUUGCAGGUCUCAAGACUUACGUCACCGGCCCUUCCGAUUCCAAGCGUGCUGUUCUUCUCAUCGCCGAUGUUUUCGGUACUGGCCCAUUUCUUUAAUUUUGAUUUUGUGGUGUUUCUCUCAGUUGGGUCUUUUCUUUUGGUCAAUUAUGUAUAUCUCCUUGGUUCUUUGUCGUUCUUGUGCUUUUCGAUUGGUCCAUGAUAUUGCUGCUUGAUUGAUCUUUGCUCAUCUGUUUGUGCAGGGUAUGAGGCUCCUAAGCUGAGGUAUGGAAUCUUUCUCAAGUUGUUCUAUGUAUAUGUUGUUCUCUAGUGCCAUCUUUUGACGUUUCAUGGUGAAUAAACUCUGUAUUCUCCGGAUAGCAUACAUUUGAAAGCUUUGCUUUUCCGUUCACCUUUCACCUGUGAUGACGAAGAGCAUUAGAUGGCACUUGAGGGCGAAGCCAGUUCAUUCUGGAUGAGUGUGUUUGGCGUUCUUCUGUUCCAAGUUAAAACAUCAUUUGUUGAAUUGUAUAUACACGCGGGACCUCAUGGCAUAGUCCAGCUGACAUUUUAUAUACAUCGCUUGAUUCAAUACGAAUCUCAGUUUUCUUUGUUCUAAUGAUUUCUGCUACUAGUAUGGCUCAGCUGGUCAUGUAAUUCGGUUUCAUCUUGAGAUAGAGUUAUCCUUAGUUGCAACACCAAAAUCACAUAAGCUGGGGUUGCCUUCUUGACAGUCCCGGCAUAAUUCUAUGUUUUAACAAGAUUGAGAAUGAUAAGAGUUACCUUUUCAAAUGGUCAUACUUAUUUGCGGAAUGCUUUCCUUGUGUAGGAAACUCGCAGAUAAAAUUGCAUCCGCGGGAUUCUUGGUGGUCGUACCUGAUUUCUUUUACGGAGAUCCCAUUAUUGAUUUCACUAGUCCUAAUUUCAAUUUUGAAGCUUGGUUUAAGAAUCACGGCACGGUGAGUUUUUCACUCCUUCAGGCUGUGAAAGUGUGACAGUACAUUUAGAAGUUCAGAGGAAACAAGGGGCUUUCUACUGUGCAAACUUGAUUUGUAGACUCGAAUCACACGCAGUAAGUUGCAUUGGUAUUUAGACCUGGUUGGAGAUUGCUGGUCAUUUCAAAGAUUUUCGACGCCCAGCAAGAUCUUUAUUAUAUAAAAUUCCAAAUGCAAAACAUGAAACAGCAUAAGUAGAAUAAAAGCCUCAUGAAUUUUGAUGUUACCGACUUUUAGACAAUCUUUUUAUAAACGUUUACUUCAUUUGCUUCUUUAGGAUAAAGGGCAUGAAGAUGCCAAGCCAGUGAUUGCUGCUCUUAAGAGCAAAGGUGUGUCUGCCAUUGGGGCUGCAGGAUUUUGUUGGGGAGGUAAAAUUUUCUGAAUUCACUUUCCUAGUUCUGAGGGGGUUGUUGGGUUAAGAAAUGGGAAAUUUGUUCUUAUUGGAAAUUGUAAUCCAUUUUCUCUAAAAAUAUCUAGAAACUACUAACUUAAUCAUGAAGGUGAGAACCUUCUAGAAUUGUUGAGAAUGAAGAUUGCUAGUUGAAUCUAGAAGAUUCACAUGGGAAUGCAAGCAAGCAAAAGCCAAGCAUCAAAGAAAAUCCUAGAACAAGCAAGAGAAGUCUAGAGAAGUCCAUGCUUCAAGAGAAGUCUAGAAUUCUAGAAUGCUUCAAGAGAAAUCUAGAAUUCUCUAUCUUAGGUUAGUAGCUAUUUGUAGAGAAGUCUAGAGACUUCCUCCACCUACUUUGGCAGCCUAUAUAAAGGAGCAAGUGCUCCAUGUUUUGGUGAAAGGGAGCUAACCAUAAAAACCACAUCAUGCUCCCUCACCAACACUUCCUUCAACUAUUGUAAAAUUAUUUUAUCUAACUAAUCAAACUAUUUUUGUCCCAUAAACCUUCUCAAAAUAUCCUAUAUCCCAUGUUCUUUAUCCUUUAAUUAUCCUAGUUUAUCUUUUGUCCGUCCUCUACAAACUAUAUCAUACACUUGCACACAACAUCACUAAUAAAAAACUAUCAUCAAUACCAAAACCAUACUUCUGCGCAUAUUUAUAUUUUUAACAGUUCUACAUUGACCGUUGAGAAACUAGUUUUGUUGACUUGCAGAAAAGUUCUUUCAAGUUGUUAAAAAGAGCUUGCCUAUUCUUUUCAGGAGUGGUGCUUGUGAAAUUAGCGGGCACUGAAGACAUUCAAGCAGCAGUUAUUCUGCACCCCGGUCCUAUGACCGAAGAUGCAAUCAAAGGUAAAGCUAUGCCAAUAAACAUGGACUUGCUAUUUUCUUUUCAGCCGCAGCGAUAUAAUUUCUUCAUGAGGGUAUAAGACUUGGUACUUGGCACGGGAGCCUUUAUCGCCUAUUAUGAAAUGCUCAUGAACAAUUAAAUUAUAUGAAUUCUGAUGGGAGUCUGUAAUGCAGCCAAGAGUGACGAAGAAACUCGCUAUAACAUGUCCGGUCAAUUACAAAAAAUCGAUGGCACGACUUUUGUCUACUUGAGAAGUGUUCCUUAAACUGGAAGCCUUAAAAGACCUUAUUUUCUUCUGUUCUUUGUUCAGCUGUCAAGAUUCCAACUGCUAUAUUGGGAGCCGAGAUUGACCAUUCUUCCCCGCCGGAACAACUGAAAAAGUUUGGGGAGAUCAUGUCGGCUAAAACUGAAGUAAGCUUCUUAGGAUGCUUUGCAUUGGUUGCAAACCAAUUGUGAGAAAAUGCAAUCGAUUUUUUACAUUCCCGUCAUUUCGCUUGGAAAGCACUUUCCCUUCCUGGUUAUUUAUACACAUCGCUAAUUCAAAGACCCCGGUUUUGCAGUUUGAGAGCUAUGUGAAGAUAUUCCCUGGUGUUAGUCAUGGAUGGAGUGUGAGGUACGACGACGACAAUGAAUUGGUGGUCAAGAGCGCCGAAGAGGCCCAAGAAGACACUUUGAAUUGGUUCUUGAAGCAUGUCAAGUGAAGAGAACCGAAGGCAUUGAAGCAGAACAUUCUGACGGAAGCAGUAGAUGACUGUAUUGUGUGAGACGAACAGUUUGAGGACUAGUCAUCUAUUGUAAUAUCUGGC